AGCUUUUCUUUCUUUUUUUUGCACCUGGGUUCUUAGCCACUGAGCCACAUCCCCAGCUCUUUUAUUUGUUUGUGUGUUUGUUUGUUUAUUAUUUUGAAGGAAGGUCUUGCUAAGUUCCUCAGGGCAUUGCUACAUUGCUGAGGCUGGCCUUGAAUCUGCGAUCCUCUUGCCUCAACCUCCUGAGCCUCUGGGAUUACAGGUGAGUGCCACCGUGUCCGCUCUUGGGCAGCUUUAAAAGACUCGAUCAAGCUGCACCUCAGAUUCUCCUUCUGUAAAAUUAGAGUGUUGGGGAAAAGGUCACUUCUUUGAGUGAAGGAAUGAGGAGUUGAAGGAAUGAGGUCAAGAUCUGCGGCCAGCCACCUCUCUCCUUCAGUCUUGUUUGCCACUCGGAAAACUCAGUGGCAUGAAGUGAGACUCAUUCUUGUUCCCAGCUGAAUGGGGCACCUGGAUAGCUCUUCUGGUCUCACCCCGGCUCACCUGAGCAUGGCCUGGGCUGUGGGUUGGGGUCAGCUAGCUGUCAGUGGUUUACAAUGGCCUCAGCCAGGACCACUGGGUCUCCUUGGCUUGCCCAUGCCCCCUGGGCAGCUGAGUGGCCGUGAUCUCCGGCAACUGCAGAGGAGCAGGGUGCAAGCAAAAGCAGGCAAAGGCAUUUGAAAACCUGGCUUGCUUCAAAUUUGCUCACGUCACAUUUUUCAAAACAAGGCCCCAGUGAUUCCUAAAGCCUGUGACUGAGGACCGGGGCAGAGGGUCUCAGCCAGAUCCUGUACGGCAGUCCUCCUGGAUUCUCGAGGCAAAGAAGGGCUGCAGCAACUAAGCCAUCACAGUCACGUGGAGGGUGCCAAGCCCUUGCUGCCCACCACAGAAAUGCACACCUGGGAGAAGCCUCGGAGACUUUUAAAGCAUGGCCCUUUUACCGGAUAUUCUUGCUAUAAAACACAGUUGUUUCCCUCUUCCUUCUCUUACUCCUUAUCAUCUGGCUUAGGAGGCAGCAUUCAAAUUGGAGUCAUAUUUGCUAAAAUCUCCUCAAAAGCAGCUCAGAGAGAAAUGUGGAAGUUCCCAUGGGCUGGCUUGUCCGGGCUCGCGUCCCUGCCCCCGUGCGUGUGCAUGUGCGAUUGUCGUAUGCCACACGUCGCUGACGUUUUUUAUCUCUCCCUUUAUGUGAGUGGAUAUAAUUCAAUGGUCGUUGCAGCGUAGCUGUCAGCACCACGUUGGAUGAACAAAGCCGUAGUUUGCGGCUACGGCAGGAUGUGACCAGGAUGCUACAUUUGUUUACGUACACACCCCCACCCUUCUUUUGACCAUAACAGCUAGGCACUAUUUACAAAAUUAAAAGCAUGAAUUGCAUGAGCAUCUAUAGUGAGUUGCAUUUAAUAAGUCCCCAGCUCGUGCCAGAAAUGUCGCAACUGACUAAUAAUGAUGAGUAGAGCAGCUCCCAACUACCACUCUGAGCAGCUGCAGAUUUUGCAAUUUCUGUCUCACAAACAUCCACUUGCCUCAACAGGGUUGGGGGUCCUGAGGGUCAACCCAGGGAUGGGGCUCAGCCUGGAUCAUCAGAACCUCCUGCAGGAAUGGUGUGCUCAUGGAAUAUGAAAGGACUUGGACCUUGACAGCAGGGUCAGGUCUCAGCACUCCCCCAGCUCCGUCAUCCUGGGGCUGCUCCCCCUUCUCCUCUGCUCCCCUCCUCCUCCCCACAUUUCUUCCUGUUCCUCUGCUCCCCCUGCUCCCCUUGAUCCUCUGUUCCUCCUGCUCCCCCUCCUCCCCAUGCUCCUCCUGCUCCCCCUCCUCCCCUGCUCCUCCUGCUCCCCCUCCUCCCCUGCUCCCCCUGCUCCCCCCUCCUCCACACCACAGCAGGUGUCAAAGGAGGGCAGGGAAUCAUACCCAAUAUCUGACAUGAAGAGAGUCACUGUCCUGUGCACCAGUGUGCAGUCAGAUCUUCACUUACAGACUCAACACAUUUGCCGGGGACCAUGUCUACUUCACAUUUCUUCCCAAGGCCUUUUGUCAUCUGCCCCCAACUAUAGAGGCUCAGAACAUGAAUGUCAUUUCUUCUUGAAACCAUGAAGCAAUAAGCCUAGGCAAGGAAAGCCACCUCUGAACAUAGUAGACAUAGUGGAGAUGAGGGAUAGAACGUGGCAGGUUCCUGGUGAUACCCCUGAGCUGAUGGACCAAUGUUAGGGCAGCCCACCUUCAAGUUUUCUGAUAAAAGAGUAUAUUUCAUUUGGCUUAAACUACUGCUUGUUGCUUGAAGACAAGGGCAUUAUUAACCCACAUGAUCUCAUGCUAGGGAAUUAGAUUACUAUUGAAAUCUAAUGCCCAGGACAUUGCUGCCCAACCUAACCUAUUUGCUAGGCGUAUGGCAGAAGCAAUGAUUCACAAAUUCUGCCCUGGUAGCAGCUCCAGGCCUGCCAGGGAUGGUCAUGCUAAGGACAAUGGGGACAACUUGAGUGAUAGGCAGGGUCUGGUGGUCUCUGACAAUUAUUUUUCCCUUUUUCCUCUAAUGACACAGAAACACACUGGGUUAGAUAUGUUUUAAGCAGUCCAGUAGCCUGAGUUAAUUUUCUACAGAAAGUCAGAUGGCUUUUCACAGAACACAUUAUGGCAUUGGGACUCCAGGCAGAAAAUGAGAGGACAGCCUCCCUGUGACCACAGUGCUUGAAAAGACAAGGUGGUCUUGGAGGACCAGGUCUGUGGGGCACCAGACACAGAGCCUUAGCAGCAGGACCUCAUGGCCGGCGACACUGCAGGGGGUGCGAGUCCACAACUGCACAUGGACAGAAGCUAGGGAGCCAGCACCGUCGCUGACCAGCACUGUCUCAGCUGGGGAGCGCCGUCACAUCAACAGGGCCAAGUGACUUGGGGAUAUACAGAUCCAGCAUGCUCAUGCCCUCGAAGGGCGGCAAUGAGAAGGGCACACUGUCUCUGUGAUUGGUCCAACAAGACCACACCCCCAUCUCCUUGUGACAAGCAAUCAGGUAGCACCCACUCAGAUGGCACUGUCCAAAAUCUUUGACCAGUCCUCUUCUUAGCUGUCAAAGUCAUCAGAACCAAAGAUAGGCCAAAAACUGUCAUGGCAAGCGCUGCUUAAGGAUACCUGAUGGCUAAGUAUGAUGUGGCAUCCUUGAUGAGGUCCUGGAUCAUAAAGAGGGCGGUAAAAAAUGAGGACAUAGAACCAAGUGUGAACUUGAUCUCACAAUAAUGUAUCAAUACUGGAUUGUUGUUUAGGACAAAUGCACUUUGCUAAUGUGAGAUAUAAGGACAACUAGGUAUGGAGUGUAUUGAAACCCUCUGUCCUGCGGGAACUGUGUAAAUUCAAAUCUUUUAAAAAUAAUGAGUAUAUUCUAAAAACAUUGUAAAUGAAAGACACAUUACACAUAAAAUAAUACAUUUAAAAAUAAUCAUGAAGUUCUUGCUAAAAUUAUGCAAGCAGAAGACAUUGGAAGACACACUUAAAUGCUAAGAAAAAUAAAUCAACCCCAAAUCCUCAAGCCAUAGAAAAUGAUUUUCAAAACUGAAGGUGAAAUAAAGACAUGAGGACAGACAUUCAGAUCAAUGGAAAUGAACCCAUGUGAAUAUCGUCAAUUGAUUUUCAACAAAAACUCCAACAGGGAAAGGAUGGUCUUUUAAACAAAUGGUGCUGAAAUUGCCUAGGAAGUUGGAGAGGGAGCCGAGAACUGGGUGCUUAUUUCACUCUGCAAACUGAAAGGAAAUUGCAGUAGACGGCAGGAGUCAGCGUGAACGGCAAAACCUUACACUUCUGGAGAAGCACGGAAAAAGGAUGUGCAGACAAGGCGAAGAAGUCACUGGUCAAAUCCAAAAGGUACACACCAUACAUUUUAAAGAGUGGUAACUGGAAAACAUCUGUUGCUUUGAGAGAAAUCUUUAAGAAAAUGAAAAGGAAACAUAAUCUGGGAAAAAUCAUCUUUCUUUCUAUCUACCUACCUACUUACCUACCUAUCCAUCUAUCUCCAUCAUCUAUCUAUAUCUAUCUAUGUUUUAUCUAUCUCUCUAUGUCAUCUAUCUAUCAUCACCCAUCUCCUCUCUCUCUACCUCUAUCUCUGUCCCUAUGUACAUGAAUCUGACAUAGGGACUACCUUCCACAUGGCGUAAAGAACUCCUAGCAGUAAAUUAUGAUAAAACAAGCAAAACUUGCUUAAAAAACGACUACAAAAUAUGAACAGAUAUGUCACAAAAAGAAAAUAUAGAGAUCUAGCAUACUCACGAAAAGGAGCUGAAUUUUACUUAAGUACCAAAAAAUACAAAUUAAAACCACCAUCUGAUAUGCCACUUGGACUGGCCUGGCAUGGCUUUAGGCACUAGGAUGGCUAAGACGUAAAGGUGGACGUGUGUCAAGUGCUGGUGAGGAUAUGGAAGAGGCUGAGGUAUGGGAAGCAUCUGAAAACCUUCUUACAGUGAAACCUCCACUUAAUGGCAAAUCCUGCUUGACUAUUAUCAGAGAUAAAUGAAAACAUUUGUCCAGGUAAAGAAAGAAAACAUCUACUAAAUUAAUUACUCACUUUUUUAUCAGAUUAAUAGUCUACAAAACUGCUUGCUGUUAAGAGUGGAAAAUAAUACAAACUCUAGAAAAGUGAUUUGAAAAUAUGCAGCAAAAUUUAAAUAUAUAUUCACCAUGAUUCAGGAAAUAAUUCCACAAAGAUAAGUGCCAAGUGAUUAAAACUAUAUAGUAUGUGGGUAAUCCUUGUUUCAUUGUUUAUAGAAGCAAACUAUUGCAAAUAAUCAUAAUGUCCACAAAGGAGUCUGGUUAACUAAACAGCUUUAAGUUUUGUAUUUAAAUUUUUUGAAUAAAGAUAUUCACUCCAGUAAAAAAAAAUGUUCACUACAUUUAAAGCAAUUUCAGUUCUUAAAUGAUCAAAACCCAGCAAUAAUCCAUGUGUCCAUUAAUUCAUGAAUGUGUAGAUGAAUUGCAAUAAACCACACAGUAGAAAAUUACUCAGUAAUAAAAAGUAGCAAAGUACUACCUUAUUUCUGAGUACAUGAAGCCAGAAGGGAACCUGGGGAACGUUAUGUAAGUAAAAGGGGUAAGACAUGCUGUGGUCUCUGUUAUCGGAAAUUCUGUGAGAGGCUAAGCUGCUUCUGGAUGGUAGAAACUGGGGCAGUGGUUGCCCAGGGCAGGGUGAAGCUAUCAAAAAGAUGCAUGAGAUGAUUGUGGGGGAUGAAAAUGUUCUUAGUGUUGUGCUGGGAGUGACAAGGGUCUAUCCUUUACUCAAACCUCACUCAAAGUGUGCUUGAGGUGGACAUGUUUUUUAAUAUAAAAUUUUCCCCAAGAAAGGAAUGCAAAAUUAUAUUGGACCCCGAUUGUGAGUAGCCUUCCACACCAGGACAGACCCUCCCUGGUCACGGGGCAGUUGGGCUUACUGCCACUUGCUCUUAGCCCAGAGCAGCAUCUGCUGCCGCAGCUGCACAGGAGGCCUGGCCUCCGUUCUGUUCUGUGCGUAGAUUAGCUGGCAUUGCUGAAAGAAUGUCCACGCAGGGACUUUGAUCUUUGUAGAAAAACUCCUUUUUUUUUUUUCUUUCUGGUUUUGCAGAGUGGUAUCAUCGGAUUGUGUUUGCAAAGUGGGGCUGAGGUGGCUGUGUGGCAGGUGGGUGUCACACACUGGGCGUAGUGAAGGCCUGUCAGUGGAAUCGAUGAGCAAACACAGGGCGGUCGCACUCCUGUGGCACCAUGUUGUUUUCUUGUUGCACGAGUCUCCUGGAAAUAUGGGUGUUUAACCCAAUGGAGGGAAAGAGGAGGGUGUUGCCAGGUGACCUGCCAGGAUGCUUCCUAAACUUGAAUGAGAGAUGAGAGGAUGUCAGCAUGGGAAGCAGGGGGAUGGAAACGUGCGCCUUCACAUUUUAAAUGAACUGUUAACACCAUCUUCUCCUGCAGCAUGGGUCUUGAGUAAUGUGGUCAGGAGCUUGAUGACUCCGGGGAAAUAUGACCCGAGAGGAGGAAGCCUUUCUCUCUUUGUCUCUCUGUCUCUGUCCCUGUCUCUGUCUUGGACUGAUGAGACUGAACAAUGUCAUUACAACUUUCCUGCUGAUGCAAAUUCAAAACUUUGCGCAUCUCAGCUUCACCUUUAAGAGAAGCUGCGUUAUUGCCUUCAUAACGGGAGCAGCAAAUCAGGAAUUAGAAGGAAGGCACACUGACAGUGAUUGAUACCCAAGGCUUUCUCCUGAUUCGCUGAUUAAACUCUUCAAUCUAUAUGCAGAUGUGUCCGAGGCAAAUGGAGGCACCCAGGCUUAACGGAUCUGGUUGUCAGGACCAAGGUGGAGAGGAGCUCCCGGCUUGGUGCACAGAAUACGGGGGAAGGGAAAGGUGUGCUAGGAGAAUGUUUACCUCCGAAGUGUGGGAAGCCCUAGGGAGGAGGGCGUCCCCGGAGAGGCCUGUGAACGCUCUCCUUGAAGGGGUGGGAGUGAGGAACGACUGCUCCCCAGGGUCCAAAAGACUGGCACAUUUCUCCUCCGGAGACUGGCAGCUCUCUAGGGGACUUAGGGCCAGGGAGAGACCCUUGCUCCCUUGCCUGCUGAUUAACUCUUGCUCAGCCUGUUAGAUGCAGACUGGGACCUGUCUUCACGUGGCUUGGCUGCUGGCCUUUCCCUGGGUCCUGACACUCCCCCCCUCCCCCAUCCCGAGAAGCUGGGUGAGCAGAGCCCUGUCUACGCUGGCACUGGGCUCUGGACAUGCGCUGCCCACAGCCCUGUCCUCCUGUGUUGGGGUUCUGUGUUCUUUUGUUUGGUAACCGUUAGAGGCGGGCCUCUUUGAGGAGCAGGACUUGGUGUGGCAGACCCCUCAAUAGGGAGUGGCUGGUACAUGACCAGGCAUGGCGUGGGUGCUGCUGCCUGCUGGUGAGGGAGCUGAUCUUUGGCUGGCUCUCAGUACUCUGUCUGUCAGCGGCCCUCGCGAGGGAUUGUUCCUGAACAUUUCUCCAUCCUGCGCCGCCCCUCCCCCAUGUCAGAUUGCUAAGUUUGCCCUAACAUUUGAACACAACCCGAGAGGCUUAAAUCAAUAAAUAUCUGUUGUUUCACAGCUCUGGAGACUGGGUGUCCCAAACCAGAGUGCCACCAGUGCUGCGGAGACUCCUCCCUUUUCCUUCCAUUUUAUUGGUGGCUCGAGGUUUUCCUUGGCUGGUGGCUCUGGUUUCUGUCCCAGUCUUCAGCUGACCUCCCUUCUCUGCAUUCCUGGAUUCUCUUGGAAUUCUCUUAUAAUUCACAGUUUGCCUCUGGACCUGGGGCUACCUUAAGCUGACAUGACGUCAUCUCUUGAUGCUUCCCUCAAUCAUAUUUGCAAUGGCCCUUGUUCCACCCAGGAUCUCAUUCUGAGGUUCUGGGCAGACUUACUUUGGGGGACACCACUGUUCAGCCAUAAGACACCCCUCUCCCCUGCCUAAGGUUGCCACAUCUUUCUGAGCCAUGCGAGCUUAGGUCUCACUUUCAGUUCUUGUGGUGGCUGGUAGGAGCUUCAGACAACCAGCGUUCCGCAUCCCGUGGCCACAGUGAUCAGUCCAGACCAGAGCGGGGACACUAAACUGCUCAGGCCAAGGUUUGGAAAGGACUGGAACAAAAGUAACUUUGGGUCCUGAGAACCCUUCUGUCAGAAGACAAAUGAAUGAUCCACACAGAGAAGAGAAAGGGAAGCUGUGUGCACACCCGCACACACCCACACCCACGUACUCACAGCCACACUUGGAGAAGAUUGACUCAGUAGUGCUGGAGGAAGUGGGAGAGAGAGAGGUCGAAAGAUAAAGGAAGAGGCUUUAACCUAGGUCCUUGCACUUGAUAAAUCAGCUCUGCCACCUGAAAUCAGUGUAGUAGUCAACUUGGGCCCUGGAAAGCCCUUCUGCCAGUGGGUGGCCUUAGGCAGGCCAGUGGGUCAGAGAGAUGUUGAGAUGCCCACCUGCCCUGGCACCAGUGUAAGUCAGGGGGUUGACUCCAGGACCCCAAGUUGCAACCGAGAGGGAGAGAGGCCCAGUGGCGCUCCGUUGGUUUGCUAGUGAAUGUGCUAAGCCAGUUACUGAUGGCUUUAGUCCCAGAACAUGCCCCUCUGUGUCACCAUGGGGAUGCUUUCCAAGCUUGUAACACUGAGUGAAAGCUGGCCCUUCGCAAGCUGACAGAUUCAGGGCGCUUCUGUUGGUGUCUUUCUCUUUGACCUUCCAAGUUACCUGUCACUAAACCUCUGUAUACCAGUAAAAUAAGUGUAAUAGCGAUGCCGACCUUGGGACAUUGUUAUGGCAAUUAAAUAUAAUGUUGAUUUCAUGCCUAACACAGAGGAGCUACUCACACAGGUGUGUGUUUUAUAGUCUCCCUAUCAUGUCCUCUCGCCAGCUUUAUCUCUUUUCAUUACGUUGACGGUAAUCUUCAAAGUCGUCGCCGGCCUUCCCACAGCACAGAUGUCAAGACAAAGUGUAUACAGACUGUCAGCAAAGGGGGUCCUCUUAAACUUAUCCAUAGUGUCUUAGUCAGAGGGCAGGUAGUUAUUUAUUUUACAUGUGGAGAUUAUUAAAAGUAACAGAAAGGACAUGAAAGAAAUCAUUACCUAAAACAAAUCAUCAUUGUUAUUAAUAACUAUCAUGGUAGUAAAAUAAAAAUAAUAAUAAAUGCCAGGAGAAGAGAAGGCUGUCCUCAUGUCCUCUGAGCUGUGAUGAAAGAAGGGAAGGGACUUCUAUAGGUCCAGGGCCUACUGGAAACGGGCACUGUCCUUCACAUGUGGUGUUCCACUCUACCCUGCCCCAACCUUCUGGGGACUAGUGACAGGAGAGAGGGUCCCCUAGUGAGCAGUACAGAUAAUAAAGUAGGAGCCAUGGCAGGCCAUGCAAUUCCAAGGGUAAGCACAGAAGCAGCCUGAGGGAACAGUUUGCUUAUGUUAGGAAGGACAGCGAGGGAAGGUUCUGGAACUUGAGCAUCGAGGAAGUCUGUGUCUCUCAUCUUUCUGAAAGAAGCCCUUUCUUAGACACCCCCUGUGGCCUCAUUCCACCCUUUUAGUUGUGGGGAUAAUGACAGGGGGAUCCGGCUGCUCUGCUGAUGAGUGGCCUAUGUGGGAGCCCCCCAGGGCCUGAGGACUGGGCACGGAGGACGAAGAAACACACCUGGGACACAGGAACACACCUGGGAGAAGACGUGGCAAGGCACUCUCAUGAUCCUAUGCUUGUAAAUUAUACAUUAAAUUCAGUAACUCAGAACAACUUCCUGGAAAUAGACACUUCCACCCCAAACAACCGUCUAGUUCUAAUUCCUCUCUGACUCCUUUUGGGCUGACAGCACUGAGGAAAAGCACCUUAAGGCUCUUGGAGUUACCGACACUAGAGAGGCCACUCUCCCCUUCUGAAUCUUCUUACACUGACUCAGAACCUCCUUCUCUUUGGUUUGAACUGGGAAAUGUAAUUGUGAGUUCCAGAAAUAUCCAUUUCAUGUGAAUCUCGUGCCGCUCAAGGCUGCCCUGAAGGCCUCCCACCCCCCACCCACCUUCCACAGAACAUCCCUAACACCUCUUCCAGCUCACUUGAAUCUCCCUUCUGUGAGAUAGUAGCGCUCAUAAGAAGGCUUCCCACAGUCCAUCUCUGCAUCAGACUCCUUCUAGAACUCAACCAAAUAGAGACAUCUCUCAUGUUUUGCUCUGCAAUAUUCCAGGUUUACUUAAAAAAAAAAAAAAAGAUAGUGUGCAGUAAACUAUCAACUGUCCUCCUAAAGAAUGUACAGAUGCCCUCUCCACCAACGUGUGUGAACCAUUAGGGGAUUUCAAGACUCCUGAAACACAACUGCGGAUCCAUCACCAGGCCCAGACACCAGGCCUUCAGACUCCCAGGAUAAGGAUUUCAGUGAACAGGCUGCGCCAUACAUGCUGAGUCUGCAGCCUGGGUUAAUUGUUUAUCUCCCUGAGGACUCUGAGCAGGUCUUGCCCCUUGCCUGCUUGCCCCAUGACUGAUUUACAUUCAGGAUCUGAGGCUCUGUUGACCUAUGCUGAUACACUGUGUCCUUCAUGUGGCCUCUGGGCAGCCCUCAGCCCAUCAGGGAGCCCCUCUCAGUGCCAUUCCUACACCUGCCAGUAGGGGAAGAGCUGAGUCUAACUCUUACCAUGGCUCAGGGAGCACCUGGGAUGGUUCAUUAAAAGACACCCAGCCAUGCACGUUGCACAGGUAGAAACUCUGUUUAAAUGUUAGCUUCAAGUAACGCAGGGAAGGCUUUUUCAAUGACUUAAGACCCGAAAAUGCUGUCGAUGUCUGUGGAACUGAUCCGGGAACCAACUCUGAAACAGGUGGAAGAGAUAUGAGUGCAGAUUAUUAAUAGCAUCCCCCCUGGGGUUUGCAGCUCACUCAAAACUGUUAGCAUUAAUUUAAAAAAUAAUCUCUGUGGCCCAUGUUCUGAAAAAAGACAAAGUAAACAUGUAGCUAUAUCCCACUGUAGGUAACCUUCUGCGAUAGUCUUCACCUUAGGCUGACUAUUCCCCAAAAGUUGCAUACAUUAGGAAUCUUCGGUUGCAAAUAACAGAAUACUCACCUGGAUGAGUUGAAAGGAGAAAGAGUCAUUGGCUGAUCAAACCUGGUAAAAUGGUUAGUUACACCUUGGAUGGGGCUUUACCCCCAGUCACAGGGAACAGUGUGACCAGUACUCAGAUUCUUCACUCUGCCUCUGUCUCCGCCUGCCCCCUCCAUCUACAGCCUCUGCCAACUGGGGCCUCUUCUCUAGGUUCUUUCCUCAUGGUGCCAACAGGGCUGGCAGCAGCUCCAAGGGAUUCACAUUUUCCUCCAUAUUUCCAGGGAAAGUUGAAGAAUCUAAUUCCGCAAAAGGUCUAGGGAAUCAAGACUUUCUGGUUUCCCUGUAUGUUUUGUUUCUGUUUCUCAAAUGGCCCACCUCUACACAUCUAUUUGUUUAUAUUGUUCUGCAAAGUGGUGAGUAGUACCUUCAUGGAAUUAGACGCACUUACAUCUACUGUAUAGAUGCACCUUUUCUAGCUCUUACUAAAAUAACCUCUUCGUGCAUUCAUUCAUUUGACAUGUAUUUAUUGAGCACUUGAUGUGUGCCUGGUCCAGGGACAUGAGCAAGCAGCAGCCAUGGGGUUUUCUGCAUUGAUGCAGUCAAUGUCCCUGUACCCCAGUGAAAGCAAUGACAGACGCUGAAUACUUACAGAAGCUAGAACAGCUAUUCAACUGUGGCAAGUGCUAAGAAUCCGUGCCAUGAGUUACCGAUGUCAUAGGAGAAUCAGGGUGUUAAGGAAGUGUCACCCUGGAGGCUGCUUGAGAGUCAGGUGAGCAUGUGGUGCGGACGGGAGGGAAAGGGCAGAGCACUGCAGACGGGGAGCAUCACCUGUGUCAGGAGGGGACCUACCACUUUCAAAUCUCUGGCAGGAGACCAGAGUAGCUCUAGGGUGCAGAGCAGGGGGGGCUGGAGGGCCAAGCUGCAGCAGCAGCACAGUCUGAUAACCAGGAGGAUGAGCACAUCUGCCUGCCAACAGGGACACGGGAGGGAGUGAGAACAGGUGUGUUAAUGCUUAUGCUGGAACCACAAGCUCAAACCGCACUAGAAAACCCGGGGUGCAUGGUCACGCCACUUAAGGCUAAGAGAAACAGCAGGCCACGGAGUCAUUCCAAGUCCUGCAAUGCCUGAUCUUUACACUAGAAAUGUUGACUCUGGUUCCAAUGUGUCACCAGAUGGGAAGGUAGCAAGAAGACUGUCACUCCGAGAGGUGUGUAACUGAGGAGAUAGAGAAAAGUAGCCUAGUUCAGCAGACGGUACAGAGGUAGAGAGGAAAUGCACACCUUUUGAGUCUCAUGGGAAGGGGCUGAGGGAAGCAGGCCACCUGGAGGCCUCUUUAGGAGCUAUUGGAAGCAGAUGGUCUUGCUGGGGGCUGGCCAACAGGUUGAGACAGGGUGCCUGUUUGAGAUGUCUGGGAUGCUGGGUCCUUGACCUAAGCACCCAGAGCUUCCGGAACUUCCCAUUUUCAGGUGAGCCCCACCUUGUGUCUCCAAAACCAGAUCUAUCUCUCAUAGAUGCCACAGCUCCAACUGCCUUCUUUGUGCAUAGUUAAGAUUUGCAAGAUAUUUAAAAAUAUAAGACAUCCUUGAGGAAUUCAAUAAAUGGUACAUCUGCUAAAUAAAAUUUUUUGAACUAGGAAAAUCAAUAUUAAAUCAAUAAAAGCCCAACUGCCUUUGUCCUCAACAGGAGCUUCAAUGGCUUAAGGUGGGCAGAAUCGGCAUUCUAGCGACAGUCGCUUGAAUGACAGAGCACUGAGCAGAGGACUCCCACAAGACCUUGUAAUUUAGAGUUCUGUGUUUUCCUGCAUUGUGUUUGGUCCUGGUCUCUAGUUUUCUUUUAUUCUGAGGAAAUCAUCAUGUUUAGUGUCUUUCCUGGCAUUGUUUGUGAGAUUCCCAGAUCCUAGCAAGGCUCAGAUGCCUGCCGUGCACUAUAUUUGGGUAUUAAAUCAAUCACAGACUUAGAAGCUGCAUAUUAUUCUAAGCAAUUCAUUUAAUAUUUUAUCAAGAAAAUGUAAUUAGGAUUUUCUCAAAACAACUUUCUAGACAAUCAGGGGAAACAGCCACAAUCAAUUUAUAAGAUUGGUUGUAGCAAAAACUUCUUGUGUAAAUGGGCCAUGAUUCUAAAUUUCUGUGCAGUUCUAUGAAUCUCUUAUAGUGGGCAGCACAUGGGUGGACAUGGUCCCUUGACAUGAUCAAAGGAGGAACCACAGAUAACCAGUGAACAAAAGUACAUGCCCUAGUAGGCCACCUCUGAUUAAUUCAGCUUAUAAUGUGAUCUUAUUCUGAGAUUUGGUAUUUGUACGUGGCUGUGCAGAGGCCUGGCUGAAGGUACUGAGGUGAUAAUGGCAUGCAGCUGUCCCCUUAGAGUGCACAUUCUCAGGGGAGAGGCAGGGGUAACACAAAAUAGAAGGGACAGUGAGAGAAUGGAUGAGGAGGUUAUUCUAACCAUAUAGCUGCAGUAUCAGGUGAGGGACUCGCCCUCAGCCUUCAUCUUCAGGUUGUAAAUUACAAAUCCCCACCUGGAUCAGCCCUGCAGGCCUGUGUGUGCCUGGGUGUGAUGCGGAGCCCCUUCUAUUCCCAUCUGCACUCACCACCACCCUUUUCUCAGUGCACAACCCAUUCUCAGCUCAGAGUCCUCUUCCCUGCAGUUGGCAACCCCAUGACAGGUUCCAGCCAGUAGAAUGGGAACAACAAUGGCAGCUGUCACUUCCAGGUCCAUGAAAUCCCUGUUUCUAGGAGGAAAAAAUAUGGAACUAAUUAUUUUUGUUUUAGCCACACCUCUAAAAUGAUCCAAAAGUGCAAUAAUAGGGAAAUGGUUAAAUAAAGCAUGUUCUAUCUAGGGGCCCUUUCCCUCCAUGAGCUCCUUCCUCCUAAAAUAAAUCUUAUCUGCAAUGAUGGCACUGGACAGACAUUCCAAUAUUAUCAUGUAUUAAAACAGAUCUUCUACAAAGAAAAGCUCCUUUUCCUUCUGAUGUUAUAAAACAAACUGAGCCAUUCUAAUGAGAUCUUAAAUGUAUGAAGACCCUAGGCACCUUGCCUGCUGCGUCUGAUGAAGAAAGUGGCCCUGGUGUAAAAGAAUUGUUUACUAUUAAAAAAAAAAUACCCACGACAAGUAAAUAUGUCAAAUGUUGUAUGUUGGACUUUCAACGAUGGGACUCUGGGUAAAUAUGCUCUUAUGUUUCUUUUUUCUUUACUUUCAAAAAUCAUCUGCUAAUGAUGUAGGAACAAAAAUAAAACAAACAAUAUCAUGAGUUUUCCAAGAUGCCAGGUUGAGUAUUGGAGGGUCUCCCUUUUCUCUUCCCUAGAUCUCUGCUAUAACUAUGUUUCUCACAUGUUGAGGAAGGUUUUUAAAUAACAAAAUGCUCAGUGCAGCAGCUAAACAUGUAGGUCUCAGAAUGAUUGCUAAGUCUGACACCAUCAAGUGUUGAGAGCCACAGCCAAAGGGGCCCCAGCAAACUUCCAGCUGCCAGCAAACUUCCAGCUGCUGGCUGAUGAUUGGCUCACAGCGGCCCCAGCAACAUCUAGCUGAUUGGCUCCUCUGCGGUGAUGCUCCGUGGUCUGANNNNNNNNNNNNNNNNNNNNNNNNNNNNNNNNNNNNNNNNNNNNNNNNNNNNNNNNNNNNNNNNNNNNNNNNNNNNNNNNNNNNNNNNNNNNNNNNNNNNNNNNNNNNNNNNNNNNNNNNNNNNNNNNNNNNNNNNNNNNNNNNNNNNNNNNNNNNNNNNNNNNNNNNNNNNNNNNNNNNNNNNNNNNNNNNNNNNNNNNNNNNNNNNNNNNNNNNNNNNNNNNNNNNNNNNNNNNNNNNNNNNNNNNNNNNNNNNNNNNNNNNNNNNNNNNNNNNNNNNNNNNNNNNNNNNNNNNNNNNNNNNNNNNNNNNNNNNNNNNNNNNNNNNNNNNNNNNNNNNNNNNNNNNNNNNNNNNNNNNNNNNNNNNNNNNNNNNNNNNNNNNNNNNNNNNNNNNNNNNNNNNNNNNNNNNNNNNNNNNNNNNNNNNNNNNNNNNNNNNNNNNNNNNNNNNNNNNNNNNNNNNNNNNNNNNNNNNNNNNNNNNNNNNNNNNNNNNNNNNNNNNNNNNNNNNNNNNNNNNNNNNNNNNNNNNNNNNNNNNNNNNNNNNNNNNNNNNNNNNNNNNNNNNNNNNNNNNNNNNNNNNNNNNNNNNNNNNNNNNNNNNNNNNNNNNNNNNNNNNNNNNNNNNNNNNNNNNNNNNNNNNNNNNNNNNNNNNNNNNNNNNNNNNNNNNNNNNNNNNNNNNNNNNNNNNNNNNNNNNNNNNNNNNNNNNNNNNNNNNNNNNNNNNNNNNNNNNNNNNNNNNNNNNNNNNNNNNNNNNNNNNNNNNNNNNNNNNNNNNNNNNNNNNNNNNNNNNNNNNNNNNNNNNNNNNNNNNNNNNNNNNNNNNNNNNNNNNNNNNNNNNNNNNNNNNNNNNNNNNNNNNNNNNNNNNNNNNNNNNNNNNNNNNNNNNNNNNNNNNNNNNNNNNNNNNNNNNNNNNNNNNNNNNNNNNNNNNNNNNNNNNNNNNNNNNNNNNNNNNNNNNNNNNNNNNNNNNNNNNNNNNNNNNNNNNNNNNNNNNNNNNNNNNNNNNNNNNNNNNNNNNNNNNNNNNNNNNNNNNNNNNNNNNNNNNNNNNNNNNNNNNNNNNNNNNNNNNNNNNNNNNNNNNNNNNNNNNNNNNNNNNNNNNNNNNNNNNNNNNNNNNNNNNNNNNNNNNNNNNNNNNNNNNNNNNNNNNNNNNNNNNNNNNNNNNNNNNNNNNNNNNNNNNNNNNNNNNNNNNNNNNNNNNNNNNNNNNNNNNNNNNNNNNNNNNNNNNNNNNNNNNNNNNNNNNNNNNNNNNNNNNNNNNNNNNNNNNNNNNNNNNNNNNNNNNNNNNNNNNNNNNNNNNNNNNNNNNNNNNNNNNNNNNNNNNNNNNNNNNNNNNNNNNNNNNNNNNNNNNNNNNNNNNNNNNNNNNNNNNNNNNNNNNNNNNNNNNNNNNNNNNNNNNNNNNNNNNNNNNNNNNNNNNNNNNNNNNNNNNNNNNNNNNNNNNNNNNNNNNNNNNNNNNNNNNNNNNNNNNNNNNNNNNNNNNNNNNNNNNNNNNNNNNNNNNNNNNNNNNNNNNNNNNNNNNNNNNNNNNNNNNNNNNNNNNNNNNNNNNNNNNNNNNNNNNNNNNNNNNNNNNNNNNNNNNNNNNNNNNNNNNNNNNNNNNNNNNNNNNNNNNNNNNNNNNNNNNNNNNNNNNNNNNNNNNNNNNNNNNNNNNNNNNNNNNNNNNNNNNNNNNNNNNNNNNNNNNNNNNNNNNNNNNNNNNNNNNNNNNNNNNNNNNNNNNNNNNNNNNNNNNNNNNNNNNNNNNNNNNNNNNNNNNNNNNNNNNNNNNNNNNNNNNNNNNNNNNNNNNNNNNNNNNNNNNNNNNNNNNNNNNNNNNNNNNNNNNNNNNNNNNNNNNNNNNNNNNNNNNNNNNNNNNNNNNNNNNNNNNNNNNNNNNNNNNNNNNNNNNNNNNNNNNNNNNNNNNNNNNNNNNNNNNNNNNNNNNNNNNNNNNNNNNNNNNNNNNNNNNNNNNNNNNNNNNNNNNNNNNNNNNNNNNNNNNNNNNNNNNNNNNNNNNNNNNNNNNNNNNNNNNNNNNNNNNNNNNNNNNNNNNNNNNNNNNNNNNNNNNNNNNNNNNNNNNNNNNNNNNNNNNNNNNNNNNNNNNNNNNNNNNNNNNNNNNNNNNNNNNNNNNNNNNNNNNNNNNNNNNNNNNNNNNNNNNNNNNNNNNNNNNNNNNNNNNNNNNNNNNNNNNNNNNNNNNNNNNNNNNNNNNNNNNNNNNNNNNNNNNNNNNNNNNNNNNNNNNNNNNNNNNNNNNNNNNNNNNNNNNNNNNNNNNNNNNNNNNNNNNNNNNNNNNNNNNNNNNNNNNNNNNNNNNNNNNNNNNNNNNNNNNNNNNNNNNNNNNNNNNNNNNNNNNNNNNNNNNNNNNNNNNNNNNNNNNNNNNNNNNNNNNNNNNNNNNNNNNNNNNNNNNNNNNNNNNNNNNNNNNNNNNNNNNNNNNNNNNNNNNNNNNNNNNNNNNNNNNNNNNNNNNNNNNNNNNNNNNNNNNNNNNNNNNNNNNNNNNNNNNNNNNNNNNNNNNNNNNNNNNNNNNNNNNNNNNNNNNNNNNNNNNNNNNNNNNNNNNNNNNNNNNNNNNNNNNNNNNNNNNNNNNNNNNNNNNNNNNNNNNNNNNNNNNNNNNNNNNNNNNNNNNNNNNNNNNNNNNNNNNNNNNNNNNNNNNNNNNNNNNNNNNNNNNNNNNNNNNNNNNNNNNNNNNNNNNNNNNNNNNNNNNNNNNNNNNNNNNNNNNNNNNNNNNNNNNNNNNNNNNNNNNNNNNNNNNNNNNNNNNNNNNNNNNNNNNNNNNNNNNNNNNNNNNNNNNNNNNNNNNNNNNNNNNNNNNNNNNNNNNNNNNNNNNNNNNNNNNNNNNNNNNNNNNNNNNNNNNNNNNNNNNNNNNNNNNNNNNNNNNNNNNNNNNNNNNNNNNNNNNNNNNNNNNNNNNNNNNNNNNNNNNNNNNNNNNNNNNNNNNNNNNNNNNNNNNNNNNNNNNNNNNNNNNNNNNNNNNNNNNNNNNNNNNNNNNNNNNNNNNNNNNNNNNNNNNNNNNNNNNNNNNNNNNNNNNNNNNNNNNNNNNNNNNNNNNNNNNNNNNNNNNNNNNNNNNNNNNNNNNNNNNNNNNNNNNNNNNNNNNNNNNNNNNNNNNNNNNNNNNNNNNNNNNNNNNNNNNNNNNNNNNNNNNNNNNNNNNNNNNNNNNNNNNNNNNNNNNNNNNNNNNNNNNNNNNNNNNNNNNNNNNNNNNNNNNNNNNNNNNNNNNNNNNNNNNNNNNNNNNNNNNNNNNNNNNNNNNNNNNNNNNNNNNNNNNNNNNNNNNNNNNNNNNNNNNNNNNNNNNNNNNNNNNNNNNNNNNNNNNNNNNNNNNNNNNNNNNNNNNNNNNNNNNNNNNNNNNNNNNNNNNNNNNNNNNNNNNNNNNNNNNNNNNNNNNNNNNNNNNNNNNNNNNNNNNNNNNNNNNNNNNNNNNNNNNNNNNNNNNNNNNNNNNNNNNNNNNNNNNNNNNNNNNNNNNNNNNNNNNNNNNNNNNNNNNNNNNNNNNNNNNNNNNNNNNNNNNNNNNNNNNNNNNNNNNNNNNNNNNNNNNNNNNNNNNNNNNNNNNNNNNNNNNNNNNNNNNNNNNNNNNNNNNNNNNNNNNNNNNNNNNNNNNNNNNNNNNNNNNNNNNNNNNNNNNNNNNNNNNNNNNNNNNNNNNNNNNNNNNNNNNNNNNNNNNNNNNNNNNNNNNNNNNNNNNNNNNNNNNNNNNNNNNNNNNNNNNNNNNNNNNNNNNNNNNNNNNNNNNNNNNNNNNNNNNNNNNNNNNNNNNNNNNNNNNNNNNNNNNNNNNNNNNNNNNNNNNNNNNNNNNNNNNNNNNNNNNNNNNNNNNNNNNNNNNNNNNNNNNNNNNNNNNNNNNNNNNNNNNNNNNNNNNNNNNNNNNNNNNNNNNNNNNNNNNNNNNNNNNNNNNNNNNNNNNNNNNNNNNNNNNNNNNNNNNNNNNNNNNNNNNNNNNNNNNNNNNNNNNNNNNNNNNNNNNNNNNNNNNNNNNNNNNNNNNNNNNNNNNNNNNNNNNNNNNNNNNNNNNNNNNNNNNNNNNNNNNNNNNNNNNNNNNNNNNNNNNNNNNNNGGCCCCAACCCUCCCCCAGCCUUGCCACGCCCCUCCCCCAGCCUAGAUACCCUUCCUUGCUUUCAACAUUCUACCUGGAGUGCUGCUCCUCUAGCUUUCCAGACUAGUAUAUGCUGAUCUUGGGCCACACUCAUGCAGACUUUAGCCACAUCAUGAUGGCAAUAAUUUCCUUCUUAUUCUGAUUCUUUUCACUUGGGUAUAUUCAUUUCAAAAGGAAACACUGGGUGCAAAGACAGUGCAGGAAUAAAUGCCAUGCACAGGAAGUGCAGGGCGGCUCUGAGUGAGCAGGAAGCUGGACCUGCGGAGGCGGUGGGAGGCCAGGCAGCCCUGGCUUUGGCUCAGUGUUGAUAGCAGGAAGGCACCAGGAGUGCCAUUGUCUCUGGGCUAGUCCGUGCAUCCAGAGGUCACCUGUGAGAAAUCUCAGGUGGGUAAAGAGGUGGGACCCAACCUCAGCCUUCAGUUAGGACAGUCCCUGGCUUUUGCAGCCCUGUUGACUUUAGUUUAUUGACAAAUGGAAAUCAGGGUACCGGCUUUGCCCAUCUCCCUGGGUUUCCUAAGAGACAUGUGAUACGGGCGUUUUAAAUGUUUGUUCUACAGAACUCUCAGGGGCUAAACUGGUCAUUUUGGAAAGAAAAGUCCUGGGUCAACAGUCAUAAUGUUUGAAGGCAAGGGACACAUGCUUCUGGCAGUGAGCACAUGGGUGAUGGAGAGGUCAGGCUACCUGCCAGUGAGUUAUGGUACUGACCAGCAAACACACAUCCUCCUGCCAUCAGGACUCUAGUGUCCCCAGAGCUGUGUCCAGGUCAGUACCCAGAACUGAGCUCCAUUUUAAGUAUCAAAGUCCCCCUUCCUCCAUUCAGUCUCUCUCCUCCUCCCUCCCUCCCUCCCUGUCUCUUCUCUCCAUAUUUCACUAAUGUUUUAUUUUAAGUAAUUUUAGACUCACAUAGAAGUUGCAAAACAUGGUAGAGUUUGUGGAAACCUUUUCUCUGGCUGCCCUUAGUGACGAUAUUGUAAAGGACCAAUGUCCCGUGACCUGAGCUAGGACAUUGACACAAGUAACUAAACAACAGAGCUCUUUCAUAUUGUGCGAGUCUUCACAUGCCCUUAUUUAUUGAUUAUUUCUUUUGAUUUUAGUUCCAUGAGAUUCAAUUCCAUCUAUAGAUUGUGUAUCUCCCAUCACAAUCAGCCUGAGGACUGAAAAGGGGACUCUUCUGUUAUUCAUAUAUAUUUUUUAAAACAUUCUUUUAGCUCAAUUAACAUUUGUUGAAUGAAUAAUGACGGAUCGGUAUGUAGACGAGUGCUCAUUUCUUGUACUGUUGAAAGAGAUGGCUCAGGGAUGCGGCUGCUCAAGCCCUGGUGCCUGUGGAUGGCAUACAACUCUGAGGAUGAGCUUAACCCUGCAAUGAAAGUCGGCAGCUGAGUCAGGACAAAUUCUCCUUCAUACAACAUGUAUUGUUCCAGAUGAUAAGUUGGGGCCAAAUCAAUUUAAUUAACUAACAAUGGUAGUUGUUAUGGCAACAAUUCUACUAAACUAUUUCAGCAAACACUCAGUAUGAUUGACCUGUUGCUAAGCAACAGCCAAUAGAUUGGACAGAAGAGAAAAACAAAUUUCAUCUGAUGCAGAAGUUGUGAUCCGGUCAUAAAUUCCAUCUAUGGCCAUGGAGAAGCUUCAUUAAGAACAUUAUCAGGGAGGUAUCGAAAUGAUGCUCCUCAGCCCUGUGCUGUAUUGCUAUCCAGAAACAAGCAAAGUCUAAGCCCAUGUUGCUUUAUAGGCUUUAUAGGCUGAAAGUCUAGGAAGAAAAUGUAUGAGAAAGAUUAGGAAAAAUGUGCAUAUCUAAUAUGUCCUACUUAAAAUGAUUUAUAUCAUUUUAUAGGUCUUUUCUAUAACUGUGAAAAAACCCUUUAUCUUACUUUAUAAAAAUAAAACAUAUUUAUAAAUGUACACCUCUUGUGUGGAAAGUAAGUAAUUUAGGCAGAAUUGUUGAGAUUGAGCAGAUAGACCUACUUCACUGGAAAACUCAGCCUCUGGGAGAGCUCCUCCAACCCCAGGCCCUUUGGGAGUCUCUCAUUCAAGAUGGCCCAGGCUUCACAACUGAAACCUUCCUUUGACUUGGGGUAACCAGGGAAUCAUUUCCCAGGUCUUUCCUUUAAGCAUGCAUCUGAACUGUUGUAUUCAAGGGAGCUUGGAAGGAAAUACAGGUUGCUGUGCCCCGGGUGGGCUCAGUGUGAACAACACUGUCAGGCUCCUCAGAGGAGGGGCCUGGAUCUCCCUGGGAGUUUUUAAUAACUCUGGUGGCUCUAGUGGUCUCACUCUAGACCGUGUUUGCAAACUCAAAAGUGUUCAGGGCCCAGGCAAAUAAAGUACUGGAGUGACAUAUCCUUAGGCAGGGCCGUGGGAAUCAGGCGUGCUUAUGGGACCAGAGAGCAUUUUCCCAAAAGACAUUGAAGAAGGAUUGGUUUUGAAGGGUACCAUGAAUCAUGACUGUAAUCUCAGUGACUCAGGAGGCAAAGGCAGGAGGAUCACAAGUUCAAGGACAGCCUCAGCAACUUAUCAAAAUUAAAAAAAAAAUAAAAAUAAAAAGGACUGGGUAUGUAGCUCAGUGGUAAAGUACCCCUGGGUUCAAUCCCCAGUACACCUUCAUGAAAAAUGUUAGUUUUGACAAUGUUGUAUUCCUUUACUUAUUCACAUGUCACAAAAUGGCUGAGCUGUGCCCAUUCCCUGCCUGCAUCUGGAGACACUGAGAAUGUGACUAUAAGGUGAAAGUUGUCAUGGGUAGCAGGAAGUCACCGGGCAUGAUGGAUAUACAGGGCUUUGAGCUCGCUUCCAGUGCUCUCAGAUGCACCACCGCAGCCAAGUCACUGCUCUCCCUGGGUUUGUUCUGCAUCUGCUACAGAAGGUGGAUCCAGGAAGGUCUUCCCAAUCCAUGGGACUAACUGUGUGGUCCCAACCAAACACCUUGGGAGCUGGGCACAGGGCUUUUGUGAAAUGGUACAAAGCGUUGCACCCAGCCAGUUCCUUCCCGUUCCCAGCUCUGGCACGGGAGAGGACCAGGGAGGCGGCUUUGUUAGCGGUGAGCACUGGCUGCGUGCGCUGUCCGCGACAGGGCAAAGCCAUCAUCAUGGCACCAGUGGUGCUCGAGGCUUAGUCACAUGCAGAGGCUUCAGGAGAGCCAUCCUCCGCAGAGCUCUUCCAGGAGGAAAUCUGCCGAUCUGAUUCAGAAAACGAGAAGACCAGGCAACCAUUGUAAUUAAGUAAAAGCAAAAGGAGGAGGAGAAAGUGGAGAAGAAGAAGGGGAAAAAAGAAAGGAAGUGAGGGAGAAGAGAAGAAAGGAAGGAAGAGAAGGAGGGAAAGAGGGAGGGGUAGAGAAAGGGAGGGAGAAAAGUGGGGAGAGAGAAGAACAGGAACAGUUGUUGGUUGAGAAUAAUCCAGACACAUUUGAAGUGUACAUCAAAGUGCCCUUUCCUGUUAAUAUAGCCUGAGGCUGUUUGACCACUAUUUGGUCGUGUGUGUGUGUGUGUAUGAUUAUAUGCAUAUAUAUGUAAUCAUAUAUGCAUGCAUACAUACGUAUAUAUGAUCAUAUGUGCAUGCAUGUAUAUGUGUAUGUAAUCAUAUAUGCAUGAAUGUAUAUAUAUACAUAUGAUCAUACACACACGCUUUUUUGUAGCAAUUCAAUGCCAUCAACUAAGAAUUAUUGCUUAAGGGAAAGCUAAUUUGGGAGGAGCAAUUUUCUCAGAACUGAUUGCAGGAACAGCCAUACAAUUAUCUCAACGGAGCAGGAUGCACGGAGCUGGGAGGGCUGUGCUUGGAGACUUAGCCCACAUCCUGCCCCACGGCUUCAUCUCCCAUGUCCCACCACCAUGAAUGAGGUGGACCGGAAGAUCACCUCCUGAAUGUGACCAUGGACCCAGGAUGCCCCAGGGGGGCUGUAACACCCUCUCCAUGUCCCUCUUACCCUCUCCUCUAUUGCCCACCACUCUCUGAAGCAGGCUCCUGUACUGUGGAAACCUGACAUCUCACAGCCUUGGCCACGCUGUAGAACUUUCCUGAGCUCCAGUUAUUCAGGGAUUCUGAUGGAAAAUAUUUGCCAGCAUGUCUUGCAAAAUGCUAUACAAAUAUGAGAGGGUGGUGGAAGUCAUAGUAGACACCGCCAGGAUGAUAUUUGGACACGCUCUUCCUUGGCUUGAACUUUACAAAUGAGGAGAGUUUGCACAUUCAUGUUCUAGGCACUAGAGUUUAGCGAGAUCAAAUAACAGCUAAUCAUGUGUGUGCUGGCCUGCAAAUGCCAGGGUUUGAAGGCCAGCCUGGCCAGUUACUAGCUUCGAGGCCUUGGGCAAGUACUUAAUUUCCCUAAAUUUCAGCUUGUUAUUACAUAUACUGAGGAAUAAGCAGUGCUUUCCUUCAAGGGUCAAGUCAAGGAUAUUCUAGACGGCAGUCUGGGUAAAGGGCCCGGCCAUGGUCUCCUUUCGGGAAGUGUUGGCCAUUGUUAUUGCUAACAUCAUUAGGCUCUUCUGGCAGUAAUCCCACGAGGUUGGCAUCCUCCCCAUUUUCCCAGAUGAGGAAAAUGAGGCUCAAAGAGUUGAAAUGGCUGGCCUGGUGUCACUCCUCUGAUAAGGGACGGUGGGGGCUCACGCCAGGCUGCUUCCAAGCCCACCCUCCAUCCAUGCAGUUUAAUGAGGGAUUCAGCUUCACGCUUCUCUCCCCUUGAUUAGGUGUUAAAUAUUUACCAUCUUGCCUUUCUUCCUCUCUACCCUCCUUAAAAACGGUUUAAUUAAAAUCGUUCGUUGAGCUCAUGAUAAAAAUAUGUAAAUGUGAUGAUUUUUGUGAAAUGAAUCUAUUGUUUCCCUUUCAUUCCCAAAGGACUGUGGAUAAGAAGGGAUAGAUAGCUGGGUCUCCCCAUGAAUUUGAACAAGCAUUUGAUAAUACGUUGUGUAACCGAUUUCAAGGUCUGGUGGCCACAGGAUCCAGCCAUUUACGUAUGUGAGGCACAGCUGGAUUCCUAGGUGUGAGUGGGGUGUAGGGGACGGCUUCCCCAGUAUUUCUGGAAGGAACGACUGUGAGGGGCUUGAAGAGGCCGAGCUUCAAGGGAGCUCACUUUCUCGUCCCCACAUCUGCAUCUGUCCUAACUGUUCCUCUUGUCCCUGACUCACUGCCUGAGCAGCCUGGCCUCUUGCCUUCUUUCUUUCUGAGGCCACAACCCAGAUGUCCUGCUCAGCAUGGUCCUGACUGACAGGUGUCCUCAGUGUACCUCAGAGUGCCCCUUUGUUCAUUGAGUGCUGCUCAGCCCUGUUCUGGGGGUCGUGGUCCUUGGAUGUAGCACACUCAAGUGCAGGGCCAGGCCCUGGGACAAGUGAAUGGCCCCUAAGGUGUCAAGAAGUUCACAAAUGGUCAUGUCAAUCUAAGAAUUUCUGUCCUAGAAGGUCAGGGCAAAGACAGCCUCCUAACAUCUUUGACCUUGGUUGGCCCCCUGCCAACUAUAGUAAAACACCCCAGAGUUGACUCCCUGGUUUGUUCUGGCUGGAUUUGGAGGCUGUUUUACUGGUCCUCUGUACCUGUGUAUUAUGAGUAAGUGAUCAUAAUAGUCAACAUCCACAGUCAAUGAUCCAGCUCAAUGGAUUUUGAUGUUUACUUCAUAGGUGAAGAGUGGUUGUUGGUUAACAAUGGUCAACAACAGGACUCUGGUGCAGUUAUUCAGGGACCAAGACCUCCCCCACAUUGUGGCGCUAGUUCUCUCUAGUGCCCCAGUGAACAAGAAUCCUGGGGGGAGCUUUCAUGGACCAGGAGUGGAUUCCACAUCUCAGGCACAUGGCUGGGUGGGAAGGGUGGCUGGGAAAUGGAGUGUAGCUCUGUGCCCAGGAGGAGUAUGUGGGACAUUAGUGAAUGCCACUUUUUAUUUAAUCAUUUUUUUUUAUUUUUUAAUUUCUUACAUUGUAAGGUCUUUGGGGACAGAGACUAUGUUACCUGACCACACACAUGGUGCACUUUGCUCAGGGUUUGGUUUGGGUGAACGGUUGGUGAGUGAGUGAACCAUCCAUAGCCAUGACGUAAGGCUGGGAGUGUCAACAUGGACCAACGGAGCCUCUCUUCCAGAGCUGGUUCCUAUACAUGCUGACUCUGCCUUGCAGUGUUGGACAAGGCAGGAGGGGGAGUGGAAAACAGCCGAGGUGUGUUUAUACUUCCUGAUGUUAGUACUGGGAUUUCUGAAUUUCACAGCCCCCUUCUGGCUCUUUCAGGAAACAUUCUCACCAGGCCUCGUCUCUCCAGCUCUCCUCCACCGGGUCAGGGUUUUAUUUUCUUCUUUGCCCGUGUCCCGGCCCAUUUCUGCUGUUACAACAGAAUACCUUGGACUUGUGCAACUUAUAAGCAGAAACGUUGCUCCCUGUUCUGGAGGUUGGGAAAUCCCAGGGUUGAGGCAUUACAGGGUUGGUGUCUGGUGAAGGCUGCUCUCUGCUCCAAGUAUGGCGCCUUCCAGCUGUGUCCAACCAUGGUAGAAGGGCCAACAGCUCCCUUCGACCUCUUUCUCCAGGGCACUAAUCCCAUUGAUGAGCACUCCAUCCUCCUGACCUAAUCACCUCUCAAAGACUCUGCUUCUUAAUACCAUUGUUUUUGGAUUAGGCUUUAACAUAUGAAUUCUGGGGAGAGGGGACACAACCAUUCACACUGUAGAGCCCAGUCCCUUGGAAGAUGGUCUAAAGUCACAUCUGCUCUACUUUUGUACCAAACAGCACUUAGUAAAUCCCUCAUCUUAAGCCUCUGAAUAUUAUUCUUGAUACAGGACAGAUUUUACUUUUAAAAGCUUAACAAAUCCUUUUCUAUCUCAAAAAUAUUUUUUUUCCAAGACCAUUGUUUUUCUUUAAAUGAAAAAAAAAGUGUGAGUGGGACACUCAAGAUCGAGUCCCUCACUAGUGGCCUCAGCUCUCUCUGAGAAUGUGUCAGGGUCAGUUGGUGACCACAGGGCAAUGGGGUUUACAAGGAAUGAAAAGCAUAGAUUUUAUAACGCAAAAUAUUAUUGCUGUUGUCAUCGUUUUAUUAAAACAAAGUGUAGAGGAGUAGCUUUAUAUUUCUCUGUCCUACUGUUCUGCAGACUUCACAAUCCAGGGCCUAAAGGAAUCCCAAAGGAACCCUGAAUUUUGUAUAUCAACAUGGUUGGAUCAUGGUUCUCUGAUGUUUGGUCUAACACUAUUCUGGAUGUUUCCAUGAGGGUAUUUUAGAUGAGAUUAACAUUGAAAUAAGUGAGCUUUUGUGAAAGCAGAUUGCCCUUAGGGUUUUGGUCAGUCUGUGUCCAGUGGGCUGAAGGCCUGAGUGGAACAUGAUGAACCAUCUCUAAGCAGGAGCAGAUUCUACCCACGGAUACCUUCAGGCUUCUUCCACACCGUCAACCAUCCUGAGCCCACCCUGCAGAUUUUGUCUGCAUAUGUCUCCAUAAUGACAUGAGCCAAUUCCUUAAAAUAAAUAUCUCUUUAUCUGUCUGUCUUUCUCAUAGACAGAUAGAUCAAUUGAUGCAUUGAUUGACAGAUCAAUAGAGAGACAUCUCUCUCUACUUUUCUCUGUGUAUCUAUACACUUCCUAUCUGUUCUCUUUCUUUGGACAACCCUAAUAGAGACACUGACAGAAAGAGAAUGUACCUGGAAUUCCCCUUAGAAUUGUCCAUCUUCCUCUUCUUUCUGUGGUCAACCAAGCAUGAGAUUUUAUCCCAUGGGGCUUGAGGUCACAGGGCCUAGUAGGACUCUAUCAACACACAUGCAGUUUCCAUGAGCAUUCUUCAAAACCGUUCACCUCCUAUGACUGGCCUCCUAUGAUGGUUAAUUUCAAACACCAGUUAGGCUCAAAUGAAUUUGCAUGAUGCUGUGAAGGUAUUUUAAGAUGGGAUUGACCUGUAAGUCAGUAGACGUUGAGUAAAACAGAGAACUUUCUAGAAAGUGGAUGGGCUAUGUCCAAUCAGUUGAAGGACUUCAGAAAUAACAGACAGGUUCACUGGAAAAAGAGGGAAUUGUAUCUCUAGAGUGCCUUUGCUUUUGAAUCAAUGACAGGAACCCUUCCCUGGCUCUGCAGCCUGCCUGCAAGACCACCUGCAGAAUUUGAACUUGCCACCCCUCAUUGUUAGGGAGUCAGUCCCUUAAAAUUGAUCCCCUGUUUGCCUCCUACUUCUAUGCACACCUUACAAAACAGUGACUCCAAAACCCCCAUUGUCUCAAGUGAGUUGGUCCUGAUGAAAGGUUUCAGUCGACUUGAAAAUAUAAACUUUAGGAAGGAAGAGGAAAUAAUUAAAUGUGUCUAUUUCAUUAAUGUAUUUACACAUAUGUACUUAAAAUAGCUGAUAAAUAUAGUGCUUACUUUAAUACCAUGAAUAAAAUAAAUCUUUAAAUAAAUACAGACUACCUAAAAUUUACCAAUUACUUUAUCAAUUUGCAUGGUGUUUAUUUAUUUAUUUAUUUAUCGCAGUUUUGAUUUGUUUUGAAUUUUCUGAAAUCAGGAAUUUUUAAAAGCUAUCACAUCAAUAGUACUUAUUUUAGCAAUUUGGCUCCGAAAUUAUCCCCUUGAGAAUUCUUAAGGAAAGUGAAUGUUUUCAGAAUCUUGUUUCUUGAGAAUUCUUCUCUAUUCCCCUUAAUUUUGAGAGACAUAACCUUUUGGAUAAUGAAAGCAAUCAUUUAAAAAAAUGAGAAUUCCUGAUUUCUACUUACACCCUCAACAUGAUUUUCAGAAAGAAAGUUCCAGAUGUACAGAUUGUGGUUAAAAUGCUCCGUCAGGUCUAGGAGAUUCGUCAUUACUUUCAGAGUUCAUCGUCCACGUUUUCUACCCUGUGCAAAAAAAAAAAAAAGUAAAGGAACCCCUUUGGGACAAUCAAACAAAAUAUCUAAAAAUGUGCUUAAACUAAUUUUUUCUUUCCGUGUUUCCUCCCACUAAAGUUCCCAAGCUACUAACCCUAAUGGGGCGGGAGCAAGGUGGUUGGGAUCCUGUAGACACCACUUGCCCUGCGCUCAGCAGUGCCUGGAGGGAUGCAAUGAGCAACUCCUGCAGUUUCCAGUUGUCCAGGAGCACUUUCCAAAGGUAAAAAGGAAUAGCUGAACGCAAUUUUAAUAAUGCACUGACUCAACACAAUGGAUCGUCAUUAUAAGAGGCAGUCAGUAGGAAAAGCAUGCAGGAAACAGGUCCUAGUUAUCUUUUUUUCCCAGUAACUCUUUAAAAAUCAGGUGUGACUUUAAGCUGAAUACACUUCUCAUUUUGGAUCUGCUGCCUUUCAAAGCUCAGCAGGUGUCUGCGAUGAAGGCGGACCCGCUGGACAGUGUGGCUCUGGAUGUAAGAUCCAGAGAGGAACAUUUUUUUUUUCCUGUUGGGAGGAACAGAGGUGCUAAAUUUGCAGAGUGACUGAGGUGAUAUUUUGAUGGGGCGAGCAGGGGAAGGGGACAUUUACUUUGAGGCAGUUCUGUCCCACAGGCUGUGCUAUGACUUGAAUAGUGAACCUCUAUAGGUUCAGCCUGCACCCUUGACAUCUUGUGGCUAGAGCGACGGGUCUCCAGGGCUCCGUUUCCACAACUCAGUUUGUUCUUUUCCUCCUGCCACCCUGAGGUCAAGGUCCAAGGGGUUAUGGAGAGCUCGUUGGGGUGGAGUCUAUUAUGCCACCAUCCCCCAAAGGCUACAAGUUUUCAGUUUAAAAAUAUGAUAGAAUUUAAAUUUUCACGUCUUAGACAUUCACGAGGAGACACUCUGCGCUUGCCAUUACUUUCUUAAACAGCCAUCAAGAAUGAGGUUCCAAGGUGCCCUUUAUUGGACGCCUGCUCCACACUUGGUGUUUUCAAGGUACUUUAAAAUUGGCCUCGCUUUAUUCAAUCCUCACAACACCACCAACUGGGUAAAUAUCCCUGUUUUAUUGAUGGUGGAUAGAGUCCAAAAUGAAGUCCUGUGUUCAAGAGCCCAGAACUGGUAAGUGAGAAGGAUUUAGGCACAAGCUUUUCUCCUAGUUCAGAUUCCAACGUCUGAUUCCAAAGUUCAUGGUUUUGCAGGGUUCCUAGAAUUCUCUCCAAUAGCAUUACUGACUUUUCAUCUGUCAUGAACAACUAGCUUGAAGUGAAAGCAGUCAUAUUUCAAUCCAGACUCUCUCACGGCUUCAUACUGCAUGGCUUUGGGAGAGCCGGUAUUUGACUUGUAUUUCUUCUGCUACAACCUGGAAUGAGAAAGUCUCCUCACAUGGGAACCCGUGCGGCUUGGGAUCCAGGUAUGCUCCAGCACUGAUGAAAACCAGGAACAGUAAACCUUACUUAACUGCUUAUUAAUAGUGGGGUAACUGUCAUAUGUGCAUGAAUGAUUAGAUAUUCCUUAGCCAUUGAAAGUCAAGUUUUCAACGUCUAGACACUGAAAGUAAUGUUAAGUAAAUUUAAAAAGCACAGUCUAAGAACAAUAUAUAUCCAAUGAUCCUAAUUUGGUAAUUCACAGAUGCACACAUAAACACACAGGGAAAAACAGUCCGGCCGGGAAGCAGCCAUUGUGGUUAUUUCAGGGCCAUAAGUUACAAGUGAUUUUUUUUUAAUGGAAUACAUUUCUUUAGGUUCCAGAAAUCCUAUAAUGAUCACAUGUUAGUUUCGCUCCCUUAAUAAGAAAAAAAAAAAGUACUUUUAAGUGGUACUCUGGUUCCCAGGAAAAGUUUAGUUUUAAUGAAGACCAUUUGAUUCAUCAAAUAAAGUUUUCUGCCUCCUCCACUUAAUGAACUAUUUUAAGUCUCCUCUCUCCUGAGACACCCACUGUUCCUAUUAAUUCUGAUACGCUAUCAGCUGUCAUUAGAACACCCCUGAGGGACUGUGCUUCUCCAACAGGCAUAAAGUGAGGUCAUGGGGGACGUAAAGGGAACCAGUGACUUUCCAGUUCCUCUGCCACCAGAGUGGUCUUCCAGAGAGUAACUCUCCUGGGGAACCACGGGUGUAUCCUGCUCUCCUCUGUGAAGCUGGUCAUGCGUAUCACAAUGAUUUCUGGCUUUGGGUAAAAGUACUAGUGGAUUCUGUCUCCUAAAAUUCUCCCCAAAAGAGAAUGAUCCCCAAGGGUGUUCCUCCGGUGCUCAGAACUGGGACAAGAAUCUUGAAACGUGGGUUUGAUUUCCUUCACUGAUGAAUUCCGAGCUCGUUGCUGAACAUCCUAGAAACAGAGCAGCCUUGUCUGUAGAAGGGAUCUGGCACGUCUCAAGCUCUGAGGGUCCUGUGGGGCAACCGCCCACUCUGUGUUCGUGAGGGUCAGUGACAACCUUUGUCCAUCUGAACCUGCCCCUCAUGUCAACGUGGCUCCUGAGUUCUCCAAGACGUUUAGGGAGCUCUUCCCGAAUUCUCCAAUCAACACCAAUCUGACUUUGCUUAAGUUUGAGCUAGGUAUAAAGGGUCCCCCCUGCCUGCGAGAAGAGUGGAGUGGGGUGCCAGGAAGCCUCCAAGUCAAGAGCAAGGACAGGAAGGGGCGAUCGCCAGGGGAGCUGAGGUUCUUGGUGGUUUCAUAGCCCUUUCUGUGGGUGACGUGUGUGACGUGUGUGUGUGCGUGUGUGUGUCUUUUUGAUGAAACAACAUAGUUAUAAGAGAUAUUCCUGAAGAUGGUUCUUUAUUGUUCCUGCAGGACCGGCCUGCUGAGGAGGGGACUGAGCAUCCUCCGCUCCGUUUCAAGGUAGAGUGAUGUGGUUCAAAGUCUGACACCCACACAGGCUGGGGACACACGUCAAGUCCCCCAGCUCUUCUCCUUUGGAGAGAAGGGAGAAUGUCACCUGUCCCACAGCCUUGUGAUGAUGACAGACGGAGGGUGGACCUGCCGCACGGGAGCUGUGGGUGGUGACUGCACACUCUGGUGAUGAGAUACAUGCCCUGACAGACCCGGGGAAGAGGACACGUUACCCCAGCCUUCUGUGAACACAGAGUUAAAAAAAAAGUGCUCUUAUGUGGUUUCUCAUUUAUGGUCAUAACUAUAAAAUAUGAAAUUGUGGAAGAGAUCAAGCUCAAAAUCACUGGAGAGUCCCAGGGGCCUGUCACGACACUGCACCUCUCCUCCCUUGGCAGGUGCGGGGGAAAAAGAAACAGCCAGUUCAGACCUGCACAUUCCCUUCAACUUUUUUUUCUGAGGCAUUGGGUCCUCUCUCACAGACGCCUAGAGGAAGAUUUACAAAAGAACUGAGAAAUUCUUUUUGUAUCUUGGGAAAGUUAUUUUUUUUUUGGGGGGGGGGAUCUUUAUAGGCCAACAUGAAAUCCAAAAAAAAAAAAAAAAGAAAAGAAACUUUUAUGAAAGCUAUCCAUCAAAUGUCAGGGAUAAUAAUCAAUUUUCUGUCACAAUGAACUGAUAAAAGCUUUCAGUAAUAAUGUCACGGGGGGAAAAAUUUGUGUUGGAACUCGAAACGCGGAGCCCUGAUAUCAAACGAAUUCAUAAAAGCUCUAUGCCUCUGUAGCCCUUGGAGGCAUGACAAAAUACAAUUUCUCAUCCACAGGAUAUGGAAUAAUUCCCCUUUUUUAUUUUUACACUGAGAAAACCAAAAGGAAAUCUGAAUUUCAAAAAAAAAAAUAUUACACAAUCCCACUUUGGCAGGUGAACAUUAGCGAUCGUUUUGGCCGCUGAUAUCAGAAGCCGUUCUGGUGAUUUCUCUCCCAUCAUGCAAAUGAGUGCAUAAUGCCUGCUCUUCUUGGAAUGUACAAUCAAAUCAGCAUUCUAAUGCUACAAGCCGGUGAUGAGCUUGGGAAUAAAUAUGCAGGAGCGAAUAAAAAAAAUCAAGGCAAUCAAGAGGAGCCAGCGUCCUCGCUCGGACUAUAAAUCUUUGUCUAUUUCAAUCGUGGGGCUGGCCGAAUCAGUGUAAAAUUCCAGCGGGGAUGUCAUCAAUUUCUGUUAACCUCUCUAUUCCUCCCUGUGUUGCCUCUGGGGUGAUGGAUUGGUUUUGUCACUCCGGCUCCGUUCACAGUGUGUUAACAUGGGAGGGUGCAGGCAGGUUACGAGGAAAGGUGACUGCUGUCCUAGCCUUGACCCUCUCUCGCGCUCCUCUGUGGGUCACGGGUACCUUUCUGUCCAGGGAGCAUGGGGUCUCCUUCUGGUUCCAGGAUGCUCUGCUCUGGGACCACAGGUUGGCCGGUCCAGUGUUAAGUCACAGUUCACUCUUUUGAAAUAAAAAUGGGUCUGUGGCUCAGCUUGCUGGGGAACAGCUGACCAUGGAUCAAGAAACCAGAAGAAAAUACUUAGCAACCUGGUGUCUAAAAGGCUCAGAAUCUCAGUCACCGACUGGCCCAGCACACAGGUUACUUUGUGCUUCACUUUCCAAACCGUGACUGGCCUUUCCAGCUGCAAUGCUAGAAUUCUCUCCAACAAUUCUAACGGAGUAUUGGACAUCCCCACUUCCCCAUAACUGCACCCUACAAGACUUACCUGCACAACAUGAAUGAAUCUGGGCAAUGAGAAUUAGAUGGUAAGCAGAAUAAGUUAUCCUCCAUGUACGUAUAACAUGUCAAAAUACACUCCACUGGCGUGUGUAUCUAAAAAGAGCAAAUAAAAAAAAAAUAGGGACAAUGAGCCCAGCAGCAAACUCUAUAUUCUCCUGGGACAUACAGGUACUUCUGGAUAUCUAUCCUAAAAAAUUAGAUCAGGACCCUGAAGCAAUCUCAGCACGCCCAUGUUUAAUGCAGCACUGUUUGCAAGGAUCAAGGCAUAGAAACAACCCAAACGUCCAUCGUCGGAUGCAUGGUAAUAAGCAUGGGGCACAUACGCACAGUGGAAUGUCAUUCAACCUCAAAAGAAGAAGGAAACUCUGCCAUACGAGAUAAAAUGAAUGCGACUGAAGGAUAUUAGGCUACGCAAAAGAAAUGGUCUCAGAAAAAAAAAAUCACCUGUUUCCAUUUAAAUGAAGCAUCUGGAAACAGCCAUGUUAGCGGCCAGAAGGUACAUGGUGGGGUGCCAUGGGCUAGAGAAGGGAGAUGGGGCGUGGCUAAUCAACAGGCGAAAGUUUCAGUUAAGCAAGUUGAAGAAAUUCUACAGCCCUGUGGUAUAGUAUUGUGCUCAGAGUUACUAAUACUCUAUCUCACCCUCAAAUCUUUGCAAGAGGGUAGAUCUCAGGUUAAGGGUUCUUACCACUAAGAAAUAAAAUUUUUAAAAUAAAAAAAUUAGUAAAAACAAAAUGAAACAAAAACAAAACAGAUGGUAUGAUGCAGUUAUUUUUGUGGUUGCUGCUAUUGGUGACAUAUCAUUUAGCAAAGUAGCAACUAGCCAACAUGAAUACAAAUAAUUAAAUAAAAAUUUAAAAUUUGGCUCUUCAGUGUCAGUAGCCUUGGCUCAAGGCUAUUACAUUGGACAGCACAGACACUGAACAUUUCCAUCAUUGUCAAACACUGCAUGGAUGGAGCUAGUUCAGGUUGCAUUUAUCCAAAGUGUUUCAACGUAGUUACCAAGGGAAGCCAUGGACCUAGGCCAACAAGGUUGCCAUUGUUGAAACAUGGAGACAGCUACAUAGCUGUUAACCAGAGAUGGGGCAUGCUCAUAAGGUGAAGGUUGGCUUGGAGAUUGACUCUAAAGGAAUUUCGAGAAGUUUCCAACUUGUUUUGAGAGAUGGCAAAGUUAUUGAAAUAAGUUUGAUAGAAAGAGCCUGUGGGCAUUUGCUUCCGACUGACCUAGAUUCCAGAUAACAAAUCUGAUACUUCCUUGCACCAAGACCUUGGAAACUUCCUUUAAAGACCCUGAGCCUCAGUUUUCUCAGGCACAACAUUAUCAUUAUCACAACACAAUCAUAACAUAAUUUUUUUUCCUGAGGUUUAAAUGAAAUGACGUUGUAGAGAAGUCUAGAUGGUGCACUGAGCAGAACAGGAGCCUAAAACGCAUUUGUUCACAGGAAGUUCCACAGACAUAACAGGACCCUCAGGAAGGACACAGGAUGUAGUAUAUAUACAAAGUAGAAGUGGGGUGUUUUAAAUCACUGGAACCCCAAGUCAGCACAUACUACUCACCCCUAGGUGGAGAGGUGAUUUUCUUCUUUUGGGGGGAGCUAAGGCAGGGGCCCCACCUCUAGGCAGCCCAAGCCUUUCUGGACUUCCAGUCCUCUAGUAGCUUGAGUGGCUCCCCCUGUGGUGGCCACAGUCAGCAGGGCAUGGCUGGCAGUCUCCACCUUCAGCGUCAGGAAGCCAUGGUGCUGUCCUCAGAGGGUCCUUCUCCCAGCCUGGAAUCCCCUACAGGCACACUGACUGGGUGUCAAUAGCUCCCUCCCCUGGGGGGUUUGCUGCCAAUUAGAACUGGGAUUCUGAACGCAAAGGGCGUGAUUUCAAGCAGCACCUCCUCCUUUAUGAGGAUCUUGAUUCUACUCUCCCAUCUCUGAACUCCGAGCCCCUGCAGCAGCUCUGUGGUCACUCCUCACUCCCCACCCCAAAGAAUCAGGGUAUUUCCCUGCUCCCUAAGCUAUGGCUGAAGUGAGCCGUGAAGCCCAGCCACGGGCAAUGCUUCACACCAGCAGAACAUGUGACCCUCUGGACAGUCUGGUCAGGUGGUGUGUGUCUCCGUGCACAGGGCUUUGUGUGGUCACCUGGUAGGUCACAGCAUCUCUGCAAGAUGCAAUUUUCUUAAAGAAAAAUGGGUAUUUUAACCUCAAUGCCACAUCCGAUCCAAAUGGGCCAGGACCAGGCCAAUACCAGUCAUUAUGAAAAAGUUAAUAGGUGGCCUUGACUGAGACCCCAGAAGCACUGUGUUGAACCAAGUUAACAACAACAACAAAAUUGUCUGGUCAAAUCUGCACUUUUACAUGUAUUCUCUCUCUCUCUCUCUCACACACACACACACACACACACACACACACACCCACACACAUGCACACACAGAGAUGCAGUUGAAUGACUGUGGUUUAGAAUAAGUUGACCCCCCUGUGGUGGUGAUGGGAAGGUAUGAAGGUUUGGGAAAGACCAGGUAAUGGGAUGAAGGCAAGCGAGAGCCAUCCAACUGGGUGUCCACUAAAUCCCAAUUGUCAGGAGAACAGGGACCCAACUGCUGCAUUGGCUACCUCAAAACAAACAAAAACAAAAUAAACAAACAAACAAAAACUCCUGAUAAAAUACCUGUUGCGAUCUAAGCUUUUAUGACUAAUGAAUAGAAGAAUAAAAGAAAGACAGAUGAAGAAAUGCACAGAACCAGGAAACCACCUCAGCUGGUCCAGCGGUUCUCAACAGAACUGUGAUAGAACCUCUCAGGGGGAUCCUGACCAGCUGCCGCGCCUGAGCCCAUCACAGGCCAGUAGAAUCAGAGUCUCUAGGGUGGGGCUGCAGCAGGACCCUCUGUGAGAGUUGCUGUGUGAGUCUAACAUUUAGCCUGGACUGAGGACCACGGGGCUGGUAUCACCCUUAAAUAUAGCAUUUGGGAGGCAGGCAAAUGAACUAUACCCUCCGCCCCAAAUAUAGCAUUUGGAAAAUCUGCUGCCCCAAGAGCAGAAAGAACUUGCAUAGGGAUCCUGAGCAAAUUGCUGGUGCUUCUGAAGAAGGGCUUUUGGUUUGAGCCUCUGUGUGUGUGUGUAUGAGAGACAGAGAGAGAGAGAGAGAGAGAGAGAGAGAGAGAGAGAGAAAUGUGUACCAUGAUUUCUUGUGCUAUUGUGUGUUUACACAUGCACAUGAAUCUUCUGUUCCCAGGAGCCUUUAUUCUAUUCUUCUUCUUCCUCUAUUCCUCUUCUCCUAUCAACUUCUCUUACAGGGUUUUUAGAAGCCCCCAGUGGCCUCUUGCAUCCACAGGCUGAGGAACAUCUCUCUACUGUGAGCUCCCACGGUCAUCUGGGUUUCCCAAAGUGUGUGGUUGCACCCCGUUGUGCUCAUGGAGUCUCACAUCUGUGUCUUCCACUAUAGUGUGAGUUUAUCCACGGCGGAGAGAAUGCCCCUUUUAGCUGCCUUUCUCCAGGACUUGACACUAUCAGUGAACAGAUAGUGAAUACAAGUAGGCCAGUUGCUUUACAUAUAUAAAUGUGAUGUACUUAUACAUAGGUGUGUGGGUGGAUGUCAUCUGUGUAGGUAUCAUCCGAGGAUAUAGUUUGAAUGUGCAUAUGACUAAAAGUAAAUGAGUUAAUUUAAUUUGACAGGACCUGUUGCACACUUAUUAUAACUAAUCAUUUUGUAAAAACAGGAGGUUAGUGAUAACAGGGACACUUCCUCCCUGGGCUCAUGGCUUAUGGGUCAGGCUUUCCAACUGUAAUGCUGAAUUCUUUAGAGUGAGUUGACUGUGAGGACAGACCCACCAGUAGAGCUCUGAGGCAGCAAAAGCAAGCUAGAAACUCUUGGGGGAAGUAAUGCAUGAAUCCAGUGCUUCUGGAACUUUCUAUGGAGUUAUAGUUCUCUUUCAGAUCUCUAUGGAAGUUUGGGAUACUCUUCCCAGAUAUUGUGUUCAAGAACACCAUUUGCAGGCCCAUUGAGGAUUAUUAAUGAAACACUUGGCUACCCACAGAUAUCAGGCACCAGGGCUGGCCCUGGUUGUUACCUCAGUGUGGUGCAAGACCACCCCAGUCUUGAGUUUUAUGAGCUAGGUACUGAGCCCCAAGGGCUGGAAGGUCAAGAAGGAGAUUUGUUUACUACAGAGGCACCAAGGUGUGUUCUCUUGGCUCAUGAUUUAAAGAAGACGACUCUGGGGUAUUGUGGCCAGGUCAAAGUUCCGUCACCAUGCUGGCCAUUGAAAGGAAUCAUGCUCCCACACUUUUGAUGGGUAGGAUCACUUUCUGACUUAGGCUUGGCCUGCCAAUAGCUUUCCAUUGAGCCAAAACAAGAACCCAUCACUCGGGGUAUCACAUUCCCCCGUCCUUGGAUGCACCAACUCAAGGGAUAUUUCUGUUUAGGUGCUGUUUCCCUGACAUUAUUUAAUGCAGUGGUUUUCGAUCUUUGGGAUCUCUACACUCUAAAAUAUCAUUGAGAACUCAGAAAGCUUCAUGUGGCUUAUAGCUAUCAAUACUAACCAUAUAAAAAUUAGAACAAAUGUUGAGAAUACUUCUUAAGUAAUUCCUUUGAAAACAAUAAUGACAAAUCCAUUUCUGAAAAUGAAAGAUGUUUGUAAUGAAAAAAAAAAGUCCGUUUCCCUUAAAAACAUCACUGAGGAAGGAUAUUCUCAUUUCUGUGAAUCUCCUAAAUGUCUAACCUAGUACAGGACAGCUAAGUUCUCAUGUCUUUUUCUUCAUUUUUACAUGUUGUGAUAGGGUGUUUUGAUGGAGCUAUGUGAAGAAAAAUCCAACCUCACAUAGCACAUUAUCAGAAAUGGGAGGAGUGUUCUAAUUUAUUUUUCAUAUAUUUUGGGAUAUUCUUUUUGAUACUACAUAAAAACUCAGAAAGUGGCAGUUUCUUAAAGGUUAGUUGUAAUAUACAUCUUGAAACCAUCUGUCUUUAACUUUAAUGUAAUCAGUAAUGAACUCAUGUGAUUUUGUGACAAUAUAUAUUUGUCACUGAGAAAACAUUGGCUCACUGAGUUAUUCAGAUCUUCCAAAUACUGACCUAUUUCUCUAGGCCUUACAAAAAAAAUUAGUUUCAUUAAUAUUACUAUGUGUCCCACUGCAAAAAUCUUUAAGUAUCAGGAAGUGAUCUUGUUCAUAGAGUAAAUACAAUUGUCCAAAGUCCUCUUUUUAAUUUGAAGAGCUUAAUUUUAUUAUUGACUACAAAUAUAUUUAGUUGUUUUGUUCACUUGUUCACUCAAAAGAAGGGUCUGUUAUCCCCAAGAUCUGAAUAAUCAUAAUUUUUUGUUAAGCUGUCUCUUCAAGAGAAAAUGAUAUUCCCCCUGGAAGUUGCUAGUUUAUCUCAUAACUCAAAAGUCUCACGUGUGCCUUCCUUGGAGACGUUAAUCAAACUUCAGGAUGUAGCCAAAGGGAAUUCCAUUUUGUCAGGAAGAAUAUGAUAAACAAUUUGUGCUUGGUAGACUAAUGGUCAUCAGAGAUGUCCACAGCCUCUUCCCUAGAACCCAUGAAUGUCACUUAUGUGGAAAACGGGAGUUUACAGUUAUGAUAAAAGUAAGAGUCUUAGGUAGGAGAUUUUUUUUGGAGGGGGGGUGUUAUGUGGGAGUCAGUCUAAUUAUACUGGUUCUUUUAAACGGAAAAUUUUUGUGAUUAUAUUCAGACAAGAGGGAGAGAUUUGAAUAUGGAGGAAAGGCACACAGAUCUGAAAUGGUGCUGGCUUUGAAGAAGGAAGGAGGCCAGGAGCCAAGGAGUGAGGGCAGCCUCUAAAGCUGGAAAGGGCCAGCACAUGGAUCCUCGUCCAUUGCCUCUGGGAUGCACCUCUGAUGACAUCUUUAAUAAAAACACAAGGUGAGACCUAGUGAGAUCUCUGCCCUGUAAUAGGAACUGCAAGAUGAGUAAACAUGUUUUAAGCCACUGGAGUAAUUUUCAAGAUGGUGGAAAUUACUAUGGACGUACUAACAUGGAUGUACACCUGGUCAAAAUACAGCAAUGUUUUGGGUUUUGUUUCAUCAAGAACAUCCUUAAAUAAAUUUGGCAAUGAAGACAGCGACUGCCAGUAGGGCUUGUUGACACCACCUGGGCUGGUGCUCAGACUCACGUAGCUCCACUCACCAAGGUUCUGCAUUCUCCAGGCAAGGGUCAACCCAGAGCAAAGGCAGGUGACAUAUCGUAGGAUUAUUCACAGGGUUUUGAAUUCACAUACCCCCUGAAAGUGUCUCGAGAACCUCCAGGGACUGUGGACCACACUUCAGAAUCACUGAUCUUCACUGAGCAAACAUUUUUAAAAGGCUCUGAGAAAUUUUUAUCUGCUUCCUGCCUUGUCCCUUCUGCCUCGCCACCACGUUCAAUUUUUGAAACAAUUCCAUGAAUUAAACUAACUCCACAGUUAUGGCAACCGACUGGCAAGGGGAGGCGGGAACUCUGGGAUCUUAGAUUUUUACUUUUAGACAUCUCCUUCCAUAAUAUGUAGAUAAAUGCAGUUUUGUUCCUUGGAAAUUUUCAACGCAACUUUGCAUUUUUAACACAUCAAUAACUUUCUGUACAUAAGCAUUUUCAGUGAUUUAAUUUUGGUUUCUGUGUAUCUAAUAUAUCCUAGUAUUUAUCGAUUUAAGUAAAAUGAAGAUGUAAAUGCAUUCGUCCUUCCAUUUCAAUACACGUUUCCAUCCAUUUCAAUCAAAUUAUUCACUUGCUUCCCUCCCAGAGAAUAAAAACAAUGAAAUCAAUGAAGUUUUCCCGUGGGGGAAAACUUCUUUGGGAAGCAGAUUCAAAUCAUCUAAACUGGAAUAUGUGAAGCUAAAAAUGUACAGUGUGGGCUUCCCGAACCUGAAGGGUAUGCACUUAAAACAUUUUUAAGUGUUCUCAGGAAGAGACAUGCUCUUUUUGAUUGAUUGAUUGAUGUUAAAAAAAAAAUUGCCAGUGAACUCAUUCAGCAAUAGCUGAAAGUUAACAGCAAUAAAAAUGGUUGGACUUUCUCUGGGAAGAGAUCCAAGAGGGCGCAGGACUUCCUACCCAUGCAACUCUAUAAUGUUGAACUAGAAGAACAAAUAGUCCCUUUAUUUUUUAUUUCCAAAGCAAGGACUGAAUGAUUUCAUUGAAAAAAAAUAAAAGAAUUUAGUUUGAUAUUGCACAGAUAUUUAUUACCUUGGUCCACAUGCCAAAUCUCUCUAAUUGACGUUUCUCAAUAUGCAUAUAACUUUUAUUAAUAACUUGAUGUCUUGCAAAGUGGGUGUCUCAUGAAUACUGCAAGCUGCUCAUUUCCUAAGAGCUUGCAGGAAGGUGUGGGUAUAGCCACAUCAAGACAGAGGCAGAGUUUCUACCAUGAAGCGUGUGCCAGUGGAGAAGCCCAAGGAGUGGACGGACACAAGGAAAAAGAGCUUCUUAGAGUAGAAGCUGGGCACCAGGUGGGCAGGAAAGAGGCUGGCAGUUAGAUGGCAGAAAAUAGGAGAUUUUGGCAAAUAUACAUGUUUGGUGGGAUUUUUUUAAAGUUUGUUAUUGGAUAUGAAAGCAUCAGAAAAAUAUGUACAAAAAUGUACAGUUCUCAUUAAUGCCAUUGGUGCAAAUGGAUUCAUUCUGAAGAAUAAGAUUUUUGAUUUCUGCUUCAAAAUUGGCAUGUGUAGACAAGAAGAGCUGAGAUCUGGGUGGCAUGUUGCGUAUAGGCUACAGACAAUCUAUAUGAAACAGAGUGAGGUGUGUGUUUGCUGUCUUGCAAUCAAUAAAGCUUAUUUGAACACAAGGAGGUAACUUCAAUACUUGAAUAGAGGUGAGCGUUGGGAUCAGAAGUAAGUGGGUUCUGUGCCUACCUGUGAGUAGACAAACAUAGCUCAGGCUCGGCAAGUCAGAGUUUCAUAAUGGCUCUAUCUCCAACUCCAUCAGCAAGGGGAAAUGAAAAUUUUGUUCUUUUGGUGUAUGAAUACAAUUUGGUAUAUGAAUAAAAUUGUUUCAUGCUUAUUGUCCACCAGCUCCAUCCAGAUCCAUUGCAACCUUCUCUCUCAGAGCAAUCUUGUUUUACGUAUGAGGAAAACAAACAAAUAAAUAAAAAUCCAAGAGUAUGGGAUUUGCUCAAGAUCCUUGGCCAGUGAUUGCUUCUAAUAGAUAUUUCUCCUAUAAUUUCUGAUCUGUGGCAACCUCACUAAAUCCUCCUGACCUGGAGAACUGAGGUGCGGAACAGGUGGGAACAGGGAUGCUGGGGUUUACUGGCCUGCCUGGUGUGGAAGUUCCCCUCCGUCUAUACCACCAUUCUCUGUCCAGACAGACAGCACGGUGUGUCAGGAGUGGCACAUGACAGAGCUCAUGAUUCAGCAUCUGGAUGCGGGGCUCAGGUACUGGUUUUCAUAGACCUGACUCUGCCUUCUGCUGGUCACAAACACCCCUUUCUCUUCUUUCCAAGUAAUGGGUGCACAACAUUCCCCAACCUCCCUCAUAAUUAUGGGUGACAACAUGACUGCAUUUUGGUCAACUCAAUGUGAGCUGGAGUACAGAGUGUCACCUUCACUUCUAGGACUGUCCCUCAAAAGCCUCCUGUGUGAGAAUCACCCCAGAGCAAUCCUGGAAGCCCCACCCGGAUCUGCGGAUUCCUGAGUGACUGCGGGGCACGGAUUCCUUCCUGCGUUGGCCCUGCUGCUGGCGGCACUUUAUGUGAGGGGGAAGGGAUUUAUCUUAUUUUAAGUGAUAGAGAAUUUGUGAUCUAAUCCGUUGUAAUAACCAGUCCUAUCUUAGUAAAUUUAGAAUAUGUGAAUAUUUUCUGCUACUGCUCUUCGUAGGGAUGGCUACUAGUUACGGUGGAGAAGACGAUUCCUAUUUACAAAUGAAGAAAAACCGAGUCUCACGCCGGAAAAGGGAAUCUCAGGGCCACAUAGGAGUUAGAUGGAAGGACCUGGAUUAGGAGCCGAGUCUUCAGUCCAACUGAAUUCCAUGCCCUGUUGCACAGGUACUCUCCUACCCCCUUGGCUUGACCCACUCUGCUCCUUCCUCCAUGUCCACACAGAGCCAAAGAGCUCUUUGAUUCCAUCUGGGAAUAUUUCUUGAUUCAGUGGAAAGCAAGUGCUGAGUUAGUCUUGACAACUUACAGUGCUCCUCAUGUCUGCUCCCCGGUGCCGUCAGGGGGUCUAGGGAGCCGUUAUGGUGCCUGCUGGCAGGAUGUCUCUAAGGGUGGUGCCCACCACCCAGACCAGUGGGAAACGAUAGGGUAGUGUCCCUACGGCUCUGGCAUGCUGAACACGCCGCUCUGUGGUCUACACUGAGUCUCUUUCCAGUGAGUGUUCCUGGCCACCUAGCUGGCUAGCUUAAGAAUAAAGAAAGGUCUAUCCCAUGGCAGAUCGAGGAUGGAAACAUGCAAGGGUGGGAAGGACAGUCCUGCUCUUGGUGUGGACACUUUCCCCCCAUUCUUCAGGUCCAGUUUACACCACUGGGUCCAGGGUUUCCUUAGUGCAAUCCCCCUCCUAAACCUUCAGCUCCUAGCAUCUGAGAACACAUCACUGAGGCCUCAGUUCUCCAAGGCAUUCUUGAGGAAGGAGGUGGGCUGGGAGAAAUGGGUAAAGGGAGAUUCUUCAGAAGCAACAUGAGGAAACCAGGGGGUUGGGUUGCUUCUGAGAUGGCAGUCUCUCAGUUUAGCUGUACUGUAGGAAAUAGGUAUCUCUGUACAGGAUGCCGGGGGUGGCUGUUGCAGGGCUCAGGCACAUAGACACUGGGUGAACAAACAGCUGUCCAGAAUGACUCCUGCCCUCCUCCAGCAGCCCUGGGGCUCUCCUGGAUCACCCAACUGAAGGACAACCCCAGGGCAAUCCAGAUCUUUGCUCUUACCCAGAGGCCAGAGGCUGAUCCAGCUGGUCAGGCCCCACUGAGGACACUAUUUCUGCUCCCUGCAAGGUGAGUGACGUGGUGAUUCACAUUCUUUUGUAUGUAUAUAUUCUGAAAUAGCUUAGGUAGUGCACGGAGUGCAAAGUGAGUGUUCAUAUCUUUGGAAGGAGGACAUGGAUGAUUAGUCUCAAUUUUAAAUGAGCAUGACAACCACGUUUACUGAACAGAGUGCUGUGUGCGUGGCACACAGGGAGGUGAGGUGUGCACAGGCACAAUGGGGCGUGUGCUGUUCAUGAUGGACAGACAUCUUUGGGUGUAGUCAGCCUGAUCGCACGAACCAUCCUCUGACCCUCUUCUUCCAUCAGGGCAUGAAGACUUUGCUUGGCUGUGGUGAAUUCCUCCUGGUAGAAGUCCUUCCAUCUGUAGCUACACACCUGCCACCCACUCAGAGAUGCUUUUGAGAUUCUGGGCUGGCCCAGCUCCUGCCAGCACACAGUGUGACCUUGGGGGCUCUGAAUGGACUGGGUAGCAUGAGACUUGACCUCCACCCUCAUUAAGUGGCCUCUCCAUGAGGUCUGCUGGUGUGUACACAGCAACAAUUAGCCAACACGAAGGGGUAGGUGUGGAUGGGAUAUUCUUGGGAUCUGAUGCCUCAGGGUGUGCUUAUGAAAGAAGGACAUACAUGUUCAGGCUGGACUUCUAGGAAGACCAGUAUAAAAGACUAAGUGUUGAGUUAACUGUUCAAAAUACACUGAAAUUUUCCAAACCAGUUUGUGCAUUGAAUUUGUGCAUUGAAUUCCUUUGGUCUCGUGGUUGGUGACCAACAAAGCAGCCAAGUGUAUACCCACCCUGCAAGAGGCAUGGGGUUCUUGUCUUUGUCUUCAACCCCCGCAUUUCCCACCACGAAGGCCCUUGGUUUCCUCUUUUUUGUUAGUAGAAUUCACUUUCUCUGCCUUUGAUCCUUGCUACCUUGUAGCAAAGGAAAUGUCCUUUGCUAAUCCUUGACAGUCUCCAUUUCCAGCUGAAUUUGGGUAAUAGUAUUUCUAGCCAGAAGCUCCAGGACCCCUGUCCUCAUGUCAACCCACGUGGGUCACAGAGAGAGAGAACAGGAAAGACCAUGUUGGCCAGCUGUGAUACCUAUUCUUGUGUCUGUCUCUCCUGAAGCCAUGUCUCUACCUCUAGAACAAUCCCCACAUGCUGUGUGCCCAGAGUGUGGAGGGAAAGAAUGGAAAAUAGUGUGGAGGUGGCGUCAGCUUACCAGGAACUGAAACAAAGGACAAGUUCAUGAGCAGUUGCUCAGUACAGUUCUUAGGUUGACAACUUGGUAACAGCGUGAAAACAAAUUAAGCCAAAGAAAUACCUCCCCUGAGAUGCUUCAUUACCUUCCCCGUCUAGGUGCGGGCGCCAUUAAGGCAAAUUAUUGCCUCUCAAAUAUUUUUAGCUCGAUGCCCAUUUCCGUCUGCAUUUGCCUUAGAGGUACAUGUUUUCAACUAAGUAAUGGGACAUACAAAUUAAAUGCAAUUUCAAAUUUAAACCUGUACAAGUGUCACUUACCAAGUCCCCCCUGAUAGUCCCAGGGGGAUGCCCACAGCACUGUUGGAAAGUAUAUUACUGUACUUGGUUCCUAUUAUUUAGUCCAAGAGAUUCUUAUUAAAAUAAAAGCCAGCAAUAAGGUUAAUAUUUUAUAUUCUGUGCAACCACAGUGCAUCCUUGGGUCCUAACAAAUAGAUUUAUUUUUUUAUAUCUUUCUUCUCGUCUGUUAUUUUUUUAUUUCACAAUGAGCAUAUUGGCAUAUACAUAUAAACAUCCACCUAGGACAUUUCAAAAUUAAAAGGUAGCUUGUGUUAUAAUUUUUUAAAAAAACUGAAAACGAUUACAUAAAAAGGUUGAUAUACCCAAGUUCAGAAUUCUGGCUGGAUGUUAAGCCCUAAAAGGUGGCACUCAGCCUUCAACUCAGCCGAGGCAGCAGCCAGGGAGACCAGGCGGACUUUUGUGGGGGAUGCUGGUCAGGUGACACUGUCACUGUGACUCUAUUUCUUGUCUUGCUUCUCCGCCAGUCCUGGCCACCCUGGAGUCUGGCUCACUCUCUGCUGUGGUUAUUCCAGACCCCAGUGUCCCCACCCACGUCACUUAGCACAGCUGAAGCAGAGCUGACUUACUGGACCUCCCACACCGAGUGGCCGGGCUGUGCCGCCUCGGUCUCUGUUUUCCUGACAACAGUGUCACAGCCAGCACAGAGAGGGUGCUUCCAACCGAGGCCCUGCUGAGACCCUCUUGGACUCAGAGCUUUCUUGCCCACCUGGACCCUGGCUUUUCCAUCAUCGGAUUCUUCACUUCUGUUCAUGUACCGGCGAGUCCCGGGGCCCUGAGUGUGGCCCUGGUGUCAUCUGUGCCUUCUGCUACCUAACUGCUAAGAAAACCUCAUUUAAAUUAUUUUAAAAACAAACAUGGCAAGAAGAUGUUGAGCCUUUAAAAAGUGCGGAUGUGACCGCCCACAGCUCGAGGUGCGGCUUCAGGUCCCUCGCUUCGCUCUCCAGACUGUGGAUUCACUGGGGGAUGAAGGACCUGGAUGAGACACCAGCUCUGUGUCCUCCACGUCCUCGCGGCUUCCUUUCUAGUUCACAAGAGUCGGCUAUGAACACUGUGAAUGCAAAUGGAAUUCCAUAAUGAUCUUUAUGCAGUUCCUGUCAGACAUCGACCGUUACACAACGUAAUACUCCUGUCCAGUGUUUGGGUGAAGAUCCUCAAGAUCAUAAAAUGAUUUCCCUGAAGAGGAAUGUUUUCCGAUUGGAGAGACCAUGCCAUGCUAUAAGGCCAAGCAUGUGCUCGCGGAACCAGGAGGCUCAGAGUACAUCUACAGGAAAACCGGGAAGCCACUGGACUCUGAGAUUACCAGGCCAUGUAGCAAGAGCCCAAGGAUUUAACAGGAAAAAUGGCAAGGAAUUCCACUCCUUCAAAGAUGGUCAUUGCAACUCUGCUCUGUGCUGUGUCAUCAAGCUCAGCCCAGAACAUUGAAGACACAAAGAAUACAAAGAAUAAAAAACGUGGAAGCUCAAGGCUGCCACCAGUAACUGGUGUGUGUGUGUGUGUGUGUGUGUGUGUAGGGAGUUCUAGAAACUUGGUAUUUUUAUGCACGCACCUUUCUGUAAGUUUAAAAGAUGGUGGACCCACAAUUAAGCCGUUGCUUUGCCCAUCCUAGGUUACUAACAUAAGCCCUUUCCAUGUUGUAGCACAGUGCUGAUAGUUAUCAUUCUACUCUGCCAGAAUUUAAUUAUUCUUUGCUCUGUGAUUGAUUGUUAAGGUUUUCCAUAUUCCCUUUGUUUUAUUACAAAUAACACUUCAAUGAAAAUCUCUGUGAACAGAAAUUCUAUUUGUUUUUAGAUUAUUUCCUUUGAGUAAAUCUUCCCAAAUACUAAACUGUUGGAGUUGUAUUUUCUCUCUAACUACUUAUCGGUUUUAGGCAAUAUUGAUGAACUCUUCUCCAUAGAAGACAAAAUUGGUUAUCUCAGGCAACGCUGCUUCUUCUUAUUCCUUCAUAAACCAUGUUAGGUACACUGUGCUUGGUCAAGGUUCCGGUAACAUCCCUGCUGACCUGCAUCAUGGUUCCUUUAGAUGAUGGGCGGGGACUUUAUCUAAGUGGAUGCAGUUUCUCCUUUCCCAAGUGUAAUUUUUGGAUUCCUUUCUCUCACUGGAUUUCAUCACUGAGUUUUUCCAAAGCUCUGAUCUUAUGAUUGAGAAACAUCCCGAAGCUUCUCAUGUCUGAAAAUAUCUUGUAUUUUAUGCUGUGCAUAUGGCUAAUAGUAGCUAGUAGAAUUCUAGCUAAUAAAUUUCCAUCAUAGGAUACAACAAAGGAAAUUGUGUAUGGCAUCAUGAUUCAGAUCCCAGACCCUGUAGACAAGGAUAUUUGCCCUUGAUCUGGGCCGUGCCGUUUAACUAACUGUGUGACCUUGGGGACAUAUUCUAACCUGCACAGGCCUCAGAGUCCUCCACUGAAAUAUGGGGCUGGUAAAGAAAGCUGCUUUGUUAGGGGGCCAUGAAGUUCAGGUGACAUGAUGUGAAUGGGGGCCUCUGGUUCUGGGUACCCAGCAAACAAUUAAUAGUAAUGGCUGGGACUCAGCAUUUCUAAAUGCACUUUAUUUAACAAUUUAUCCGGGAUGAGUAGUUUAGUGUUGUUAUUAUUACUGUUGUCCAAUUUCAAGGGCACCUUUUGUGCACGUCUCCGUCUCUUUCUCCUCCCACUCAGCAGAACAUUCCUCAGAGGCCAGAGCUUUCUCCUCCUCUCCUUGUGGACCCCAAGGUUUGCAGAGGGCAUCAAUACACGUUUGACACUGAGGGAAGAAAUGAACCAAUGAAAAUCAAAUUUUAACCCCUAUUGAGGUGUUCUUCUUCAUUGGAUGUGUGCCUUUUUGGUUCUGAGGGAGGCUACAAAUUGCAAUUUUGCUCAAUUCUACCUUCAGUUUUGAGCUGCUAAACCUUUGCCUACAAUCANCAUCACUGAGUUUUUCCAAAGCUCUGAUCUUAUGAUUGAGAAACAUCCCGAAGCUUCUCAUGUCUGAAAAUAUCUUGUAUUUUAUGCUGUGCAUAUGGCUAAUAGUAGCUAGUAGAAUUCUAGCUAAUAAAUUUCCAUCAUAGGAUACAACAAAGGAAAUUGUGUAUGGCAUCAUGAUUCAGAUCCCAGACCCUGUAGACAAGGAUAUUUGCCCUUGAUCUGGGCCGUGCCGUUUAACUAACUGUGUGACCUUGGGGACAUAUUCUAACCUGCACAGGCCUCAGAGUCCUCCACUGAAAUAUGGGGCUGGUAAAGAAAGCUGCUUUGUUAGGGGGCCAUGAAGUUCAGGUGACAUGAUGUGAAUGGGGGCCUCUGGUUCUGGGUACCCAGCAAACAAUUAAUAGUAAUGGCUGGGACUCAGCAUUUCUAAAUGCACUUUAUUUAACAAUUUAUCCGGGAUGAGUAGUUUAGUGUUGUUAUUAUUACUGUUGUCCAAUUUCAAGGGCACCUUUUGUGCACGUCUCCGUCUCUUUCUCCUCCCACUCAGCAGAACAUUCCUCAGAGGCCAGAGCUUUCUCCUCCUCUCCUUGUGGACCCCAAGGUUUGCAGAGGGCAUCAAUACACGUUUGACACUGAGGGAAGAAAUGAACCAAUGAAAAUCAAAUUUUAACCCCUAUUGAGGUGUUCUUCUUCAUUGGAUGUGUGCCUUUUUGGUUCUGAGGGAGGCUACAAAUUGCAAUUUUGCUCAAUUCUACCUUCAGUUUUGAGCUGCUAAACCUUUGCCUACAAUCAACCACAUCCCACAGAUCAGGUCUCAUCCCCCAGUGAGUGCAGAUGGUGUCCAAUUAGCAUACUUAAAAAUGCAUUUCUAAGGGGUCAUAGAUCUUAUGUAUACAGAUAUAUAUAUCAAGAUUCUGCUUAUCAUCUUAGGAUGUCUGUGACCCCCUCCACGGCCAACCUCUUGCCUUUAAGUGCUGUCCUUGAAACUAAGGCCCAAUCCAGGACCUUGAUAAACCCAAAUGCCUCGCUGAUCUAAACAAAAGCCAGUCUGAGCGUGUCAGGUUGGCAUCCAGGAGGGGAGGACCCCAUGCAUGGAGAGCCAGGUCACAUGCUUCUUUCUCCUUCAUUUUAGGUGGCUGGGGGAGCUAAAAAAUGUGUGUGGGUGAGGGAGAAGUUAUUUCUUGAUGAUUUUCUCUCUCUGUGUCUCUUUUUUUUUUAACCCAAGGACCAGGGUCAGGAAGAAUCCACCCCAAGGGUAGUUGGAGGGAAGAAAAAUAACAAGGCUCGGUGGCGUCUGGGGACCAGAGCACUGUUCGCAUCCGCUGUAAUCAUCAGUGCAUGGCUGGGCUGUCUGGGUAAUUUACAUAACACCCUCCUGACACCUUCACUUCAGUUAUCCAUCACCACCGCGUGGCGUUUCCUUCCCUGGCGCUCUGGCUCACUCUCUCCCUCCGUCCAUCUUCCCCUCUCUCCAAUCCCUCAUUUUUGACUUCUUCCUCCCACUGGCCCUCUUGUUUUUCUGCUUUUUUUUCUUCCUUUCUUCAUUUACACUUAUGUGUAGACAGCCAAGAAAAAAAGAAAAAGAGGUGGAUUUCAACAUCCUUUCUCUCCUUCUUGCUCAACUCACAUGCAUUCAGUAAGUGACGGAGAACCAAGUCAACGGAGUUGGCGGAAGAAGAGAGCUCCCUCUUAUGUAAUAUACAGGAUCACUGGGGACGGGGAGCAGUGUUGCUUCAAUAUAUGUACACAUGACCACACUGGGGAACGAGGGCGCCAGUGCAUACACUGUAGCAAACAUAAAUCAGUGUAUACUUUGCAUUGAACAUAAAUUUGCAAAUAUUGAAAAAUUGGACACUGAGUAGUCAAUUCAUCUUUUAGUAUAACCCAGAGAGCCCAUGAAUACAUAAAUCCAAGGAUCUCACAUACCUAGGAACAUAACCAAGGCAUGGUGCUGAUAGUUUUCUGAGACUGUUUCAAUUGAUUGUGUUUUAAUUGUUACGCCCAAGCAAAUAGGCAAAUAAUCAAUGGGAUCAAUAGUUUUUUCCCUUCAUGGAACAUUGUAGGGAAAAACGAAUGGCUUGGAAAAUUAUGUAAAAAUACCUAGAAAACCUGUUGCGCAGAGUACAUACUUUGUGGUCUUAUUAAUAUAAGUGAACAUCAUUAUGAAAUGUUUGACAAAGACCGAGGAAAGCCAAGGUCACUGGGGAUAGAAUGUUAGGAAAUGGCAAUUUAUGUGCAUCUGAGUUUUAAAGAUAGAAAUUAUUGAAUUGAAUUGGCUCUAAUGCUUUUUCAUAAACUUAAUUCUUUCUUUCUUAAUGCCUGUUGUACCCCACAGUUCUCCCUCAAUUUUUUCUCUUUUGUUUUAUUCUAAAAUAGAUAGCCUAGAUAAAUGGACCCAUGGAUAAAUAGCACAUGCUUCCAACAAUUGCUUCUUGAAAGGCAGGGCCACUGUUUUAGCUCUGCUUGUAGAGCAUUUUAAAAAGAAAUACUGAUGCUUAGACGCCCACAAACUGAAUUGGAGUUUUCAAAUGAAGAGUGGCUAUGAGGUUCCUACAUAGUUAAAUGUUUACCAUUUAGUGUUUUGCCCAUGCACUUCUGGAACAUUCUAGCAUCAUUCCUGUUGAUAAUGUGAUGCCAUUAAGGGAAUAUCCAGUAGCUUUUUUUUUUUGUAAUGUGAAAAACAUUCAUCAUUCACAGUGACAUAUUCUCAUCAUGGCUACUUUUGGGUCCUGAAUUCCAGGCCCGUGCUAUGAAUUUCAUUUCCAUUAUCACCCAUAUCCUGAUCACAAUGUCACAUGGUGGGGACUGUGAUUCUCUCCAUUACAUAGAUAAAUAAGGGAAGACCCUCAGACAGCAGUGAGUUGCCCAAGACCACUCGCCAGGAAGAUGCAGAGCGAGGACGGAAAGCAGGGUACAGCUUUACGAGGCCCACCGUAGGCAGCGAUGAAUGACAGCAGUGUACCGUUGACUUGUGAUUGACACACUGUUGAUAUCAAAAUAAAAGUGGGAAAUCUAGAGGAGUAAAAUUACUUAUGGCAAGUGGGUGAACUAGCCUGGGACUUCUAGACGUCAAGGGGUUGGGUUGCUUGCCUUCAUGUGUCCUCAGUGUCUUAGUUGGGGAUGGAUGACGUCGCUGGAACUCAGCAGAUGCCUGUGGAAGUGACUACCUUUUCAAUGCCAAAGAUUCUGUCUGUGCUUGGAGAGGUGAGGUGUGUACCUCCUGUGGUGAUAAUCAGGAGGUACCUGGCUCACCAGCUUUGUUGACGGAGAGACUCACUACUUGUGUAUCUCUGUGCACAAAUUGUCCUCAUUUUUUUUCCAGUUGCUAUUUUCUAUAAUGAUGGGAAAGAACUCAACAGGUUCUGAAUCACGCUCAGAGGAAGCAUUCACAAAUGUUUGGCCACUUGGCCACUUGUCUUAGCAGGAGUCACAUCAGGGAUUAUGGGAAAAAUUGAAGUUAUCUUGAGAUUGAAUGCUAAUGCCUCUUUCUCCAUCACUAGCAGAGCGCCCUGCAAACAGGGACACUGUGUUUGUCUGAGCAGCAUUUCCCUACUGAGGAGGGUCCCUAUGAAUGUCUGGAACCUUACUGGCCGAAGAAGCAAGGAGGCCACCCGCUUUCAGUCCAGAGCUUGGCAUCUGGGAGGAGCAGACCACUGCCUUUGCAGUCAGAGGACACAGGAGGAGACCUCGCCAGCAGAAUUCCCACUGGACAGGUCUGUUCCAAGCUGCUGAAUGGAUGGAUCCCUGAAGAAAGAUGCUGUCUCUACCCCUUAUCCCUUACCUUCUCAGAGGGUAGAGUUUCACAUUUCUGCUUGGGAACCCAGAUGUCAGACUUCUCAAACAGAACCCAGAGUUCAUAAUACACAGAGUGGAAGGUAAAAGUCAGAAAAGACUAGAAGAAGCACCACUUGGCUUGAAGGGACUCUUCUCUGGAAGUUCCAUACCAACCCAAUCAGAUUCCACUAGUGCUCCACGAAUGCUCUCCUCCUUCCCCUAGACCCUUCCCAAUGCUCUGAUGCCAAUACACAUUAUUCCAAUUGCUCAGAGCAUUCUGUCUAUCUAUCUAUCUGUCUAUCUAUCUAUCUAUCUAUCUAUCUAUCUAUCUAUCUAUCUAUAUUUCUACCUACCUACCUAUCUAUCCAUCCAUCUAUCUUCUGAACUUGAUUUUGUAUUCAUGAAUUUGUUUACUUUCAUUUAUUCACUCAACAAAUGUUUGGAUACAAGAUUUGGGACUGUUUGCUGUUAGAGUUUGCUCAUUGCCUUGGUUCUGCAUGGAAUGCAAAGUCUCUGAGCUCAGGGAUCAUGUCUCUGACCGCACCCUCCCACUAGGUACCGCACCCAGGUCCAUGAUCACACUGCUAAAUGAACACAGGAUGGGUGCAGGAAUGAUCCAGGCCCUGCGGCAGACACUGGGAGGGCGAAAGUCAUUCAGAAAUGGCUUCUUCCUGGCCUUGAGUGGCUCAGGCUUUGUGGACUAUCACUUCUACCUGAAGAAGAGCACCCAUGAGCCUGCAGCCACACGCCCAGUGUCAGCAGAGACACACCCUCCAUAUAUAACUGGUGACUUGGUGGAGCGUCCUCCACCAAGUCAUGAACCAUGAGCCUGUAGAAGUAGUUGUCAUGUCAGAAUGAACUAGACAUUCUUUGGGAUGCUGGCCCAGCAGAUGCUCUGUCGGUACUGCUGAAUCUGACACUCGAAAGGAGCCUCCCCAGCCCACUCCAUGUGGGGAACCCCAGGGCUCAACGUGGCAAUGAGGACCAAAGGUAGCAGCAAGAGAACAGGAAGAGUAGAGCUGCCCUUCACCGAGUCCUCAGCACCUCCAGGAGCAAGCUAAACACUGGAUCGACGUAUCACUUAAUCCGCACAGUGACGCAGGGAGCUGAUGCUCAUGUCUGUGUUCUGUAGGUCCGGACACUUGCCGGGGUACGUUGUGAUUGCAGUAGUACCUGCUGUGCCGUGGAAGGCCCACUAUCCCAUCCAAACCAGUCUCUCUCCAGAGUGUGUGCCUUCCACCCAUGAAGACACUGGUCUUCUGCACAAACCUGGGCAUGGGGACACAUGACUCUACCUGGAGAUGAGCCGCUGCUGUCCGGAUCCCUUUUCCUAUUUGGGCAAAUCCAGUCUCAGCACUGGUAAGAGUUUCAAAAUUUCUGUUUUUUUAUAAACCAAGAUAAUAAUGAUAAUAAUUUGUUCUGGGGACUGAACCCAGGGGCAUUUUUACCACUAAACUACUCCACCGGUCCUUUUAAAUUUUUUAUUUGGAUACAAGGUCUUGCUAACGACUAAGUUUCUUGCUAAAUUGUUCACAUUGACCUUUAACUGGUGAUCCUUCUGCCCUAGGCUCCCUGGUGGCUGGGGUAUAGGUGUGGUUUCUAAGCUUCUCCUACAUCUUCAUCUGAGCACGUUAUCCACAUAACACUUAAAAAAAUACUUCUAUUUUUAAUUUAUACACAUAUUUGUACAUAUUUGUGCAGCAUGAUAACUGGAUACAUGUACACACAGUGAUUCUUUAAUGCCUUUAUAUUCACAAUUGUCUGGCAUUUGCCAUGAAACUCCUAGCUCCUUCCAAGAAUGCUCAUGACCUAAUUGUGCACUGAAUAUGUUAUUUUUCCUCUUAAUAAAUCUACAAAGCUGGGCAGAAUCCUCCUGGAAUUUUCAUGCAGAGAGGAAUUCUCAUCAAACAAGUAAUAUCGAGCUUCUAUUGGAUACAGCUGCACUAGAUUCUACCAGUCCUUGAUUAAACUGCAUCCACAGAAAUAUUCCCCUACCCCAUACACACCAAAAAAAAAAAGACAGGAAGAAGGAGAGAAGUCCAAAAAGCAAUUGUACCUGUGUAGCGGGUCCCCUCUUUCCACAGGCUGGGCUUGGGUGCUGUUUUCACACCCCCCACCUGCAAAUCCAGAGAAUCCGGAGCCCUCCAGACUUCCUCCAGGGCUGUUUUUGCCGUUGUUAUAGCUAACGUUAUGGAAGUUACUUUAUUAAGAUUGGAGUUUAUGCUAUGAAUCGAAUUAAGUCGCAAAUACAUAUACAGUUCAUUCUGUCUUUUAGCAAGGUCCCACUCUCACUUUCUCUCUUGAUAAAGAAAACCAUUAGCUCCUGUCAGAACCGCAAGGAGGGAGAUCAUUUUUAUUGAAAUAAGAAGGAAAUGAUAAUGUCAGGCACUGAGUCCGAGAGAUAAAAUAUUACAUCUAAUAAACAUGCUACAUAUGGGAUUCGACAAGGGGUCCUUGAAUUACGGAACAACAGAAGCUUCAGAAAAACAAUAACAUUAAUAUUGAAAAAUAAUGACUACCACUUCCAUCAUGGAAAAAAAACCCCGCAUUUUAAUAAACAGGAGGGAAAUUCAGGAAACUCCAAGAAAACAGCUAAUGACAUCCCUUGCCUUAGAAGGAUUAUCAAGGUGAACCAGCAGAAUGGUGGGCACCAGGCCUGGGAGAGUCCAGAAUUCAGAAAAACAAGGAGACUUGACUGAAAAGCAAAAGAUAUUUUAAAAAACUGUAGAAAAGUAAAUUCGAGGAUAGAGACAGGGCCAUGAUUUGUGAGGGGUGGGGGUGUGUCAUGAAAUGGCUGUGGGGGGACAGUGGCAUACGACUCUAUUUGCCAUCAGUGGUCAAAUCAGCACCUCUCUACUGCAGACUGUCUUGUCCCUUACUCCCCACCUCAGGGACACAUCUUGGGAUGUGCCUUUAGUGGGCAAUGGUCACACAUCCCCUUACAACAUCAAAGAGCCACCUGGCCUCAAAUGUCAAGAAUUCCAUGCUUGAGAAUCCAGGGUUUAAACCUGUUUUUCUCAUUUUCCUGUCAAAAGAGUCCACUUGCUUGUAACCGACUCCACACUCCUUCUCUUGGGGUCCACACUGGGCUCUCGAGUCAUGAUUUGUGUUUUGACAGGCUCUGGCUCAUCAGCAUCUUCUAAAUAGAAUUUGAGCGUUAUUAUUGAGGACAUCAAAACUACAUCCAUCAAUGAGCAGUCACAAUAGAGGUUGCUUGUCAAGGAGCCACUAUCUCUGAUUUAGCAGACACACCCGGGAGGAAGUCACCGAAUCUCAGAUAUGGAGAGAGGAACUGGGAGAAAGGUGUACAAGCUGCUAAUUCAGGAUGCCGCUCAAUUCUGUCUUAGCCCACAGAGGCUUGGUCCUUUUGGGCAAGUACGGGGCUUUUACAACCUCAGUACUAAUAACACACGAGGCUUGGUAACUUCUUCCUGGGGGUGGUGAUAGGGCUGUCCAAGUGCUUCAGGAUGUCAGCAUCAUCGCUGACCACUACUCCCUAGAUGCCAGGGCUCCUCCCUCCCACCACCCUCAUCAUGACAACCCAAAAGUUCUCUGGCCAUUGCCAACCUUCUCCUGGAGAGUGAAAUUGCCCCUGUGGAGAACUGUUAGCUUGGACAGUGCAUACUUUGGAGUUUCAGCCCUGAAACACUCUGAGGACUGCAGAGAUGGAAAACAAAUGGGUCGGAAUAAGAAAAGACCAAUCCCUCACCAUCUUGCCUUCCCCCACCCUUAGAAAUGCACCUGCUUUAUCUGNAUGCUGUCUCUACCCCUUAUCCCUUACCUUCUCAGAGGGUAGAGUUUCACAUUUCUGCUUGGGAACCCAGAUGUCAGACUUCUCAAACAGAACCCAGAGUUCAUAAUACACAGAGUGGAAGGUAAAAGUCAGAAAAGACUAGAAGAAGCACCACUUGGCUUGAAGGGACUCUUCUCUGGAAGUUCCAUACCAACCCAAUCAGAUUCCACUAGUGCUCCACGAAUGCUCUCCUCCUUCCCCUAGACCCUUCCCAAUGCUCUGAUGCCAAUACACAUUAUUCCAAUUGCUCAGAGCAUUCUGUCUAUCUAUCUAUCUGUCUAUCUAUCUAUCUAUCUAUCUAUCUAUCUAUCUAUCUAUCUAUAUUUCUACCUACCUACCUAUCUAUCCAUCCAUCUAUCUUCUGAACUUGAUUUUGUAUUCAUGAAUUUGUUUACUUUCAUUUAUUCACUCAACAAAUGUUUGGAUACAAGAUUUGGGACUGUUUGCUGUUAGAGUUUGCUCAUUGCCUUGGUUCUGCAUGGAAUGCAAAGUCUCUGAGCUCAGGGAUCAUGUCUCUGACCGCACCCUCCCACUAGGUACCGCACCCAGGUCCAUGAUCACACUGCUAAAUGAACACAGGAUGGGUGCAGGAAUGAUCCAGGCCCUGCGGCAGACACUGGGAGGGCGAAAGUCAUUCAGAAAUGGCUUCUUCCUGGCCUUGAGUGGCUCAGGCUUUGUGGACUAUCACUUCUACCUGAAGAAGAGCACCCAUGAGCCUGCAGCCACACGCCCAGUGUCAGCAGAGACACACCCUCCAUAUAUAACUGGUGACUUGGUGGAGCGUCCUCCACCAAGUCAUGAACCAUGAGCCUGUAGAAGUAGUUGUCAUGUCAGAAUGAACUAGACAUUCUUUGGGAUGCUGGCCCAGCAGAUGCUCUGUCGGUACUGCUGAAUCUGACACUCGAAAGGAGCCUCCCCAGCCCACUCCAUGUGGGGAACCCCAGGGCUCAACGUGGCAAUGAGGACCAAAGGUAGCAGCAAGAGAACAGGAAGAGUAGAGCUGCCCUUCACCGAGUCCUCAGCACCUCCAGGAGCAAGCUAAACACUGGAUCGACGUAUCACUUAAUCCGCACAGUGACGCAGGGAGCUGAUGCUCAUGUCUGUGUUCUGUAGGUCCGGACACUUGCCGGGGUACGUUGUGAUUGCAGUAGUACCUGCUGUGCCGUGGAAGGCCCACUAUCCCAUCCAAACCAGUCUCUCUCCAGAGUGUGUGCCUUCCACCCAUGAAGACACUGGUCUUCUGCACAAACCUGGGCAUGGGGACACAUGACUCUACCUGGAGAUGAGCCGCUGCUGUCCGGAUCCCUUUUCCUAUUUGGGCAAAUCCAGUCUCAGCACUGGUAAGAGUUUCAAAAUUUCUGUUUUUUUAUAAACCAAGAUAAUAAUGAUAAUAAUUUGUUCUGGGGACUGAACCCAGGGGCAUUUUUACCACUAAACUACUCCACCGGUCCUUUUAAAUUUUUUAUUUGGAUACAAGGUCUUGCUAACGACUAAGUUUCUUGCUAAAUUGUUCACAUUGACCUUUAACUGGUGAUCCUUCUGCCCUAGGCUCCCUGGUGGCUGGGGUAUAGGUGUGGUUUCUAAGCUUCUCCUACAUCUUCAUCUGAGCACGUUAUCCACAUAACACUUAAAAAAAUACUUCUAUUUUUAAUUUAUACACAUAUUUGUACAUAUUUGUGCAGCAUGAUAACUGGAUACAUGUACACACAGUGAUUCUUUAAUGCCUUUAUAUUCACAAUUGUCUGGCAUUUGCCAUGAAACUCCUAGCUCCUUCCAAGAAUGCUCAUGACCUAAUUGUGCACUGAAUAUGUUAUUUUUCCUCUUAAUAAAUCUACAAAGCUGGGCAGAAUCCUCCUGGAAUUUUCAUGCAGAGAGGAAUUCUCAUCAAACAAGUAAUAUCGAGCUUCUAUUGGAUACAGCUGCACUAGAUUCUACCAGUCCUUGAUUAAACUGCAUCCACAGAAAUAUUCCCCUACCCCAUACACACCAAAAAAAAAAAGACAGGAAGAAGGAGAGAAGUCCAAAAAGCAAUUGUACCUGUGUAGCGGGUCCCCUCUUUCCACAGGCUGGGCUUGGGUGCUGUUUUCACACCCCCCACCUGCAAAUCCAGAGAAUCCGGAGCCCUCCAGACUUCCUCCAGGGCUGUUUUUGCCGUUGUUAUAGCUAACGUUAUGGAAGUUACUUUAUUAAGAUUGGAGUUUAUGCUAUGAAUCGAAUUAAGUCGCAAAUACAUAUACAGUUCAUUCUGUCUUUUAGCAAGGUCCCACUCUCACUUUCUCUCUUGAUAAAGAAAACCAUUAGCUCCUGUCAGAACCGCAAGGAGGGAGAUCAUUUUUAUUGAAAUAAGAAGGAAAUGAUAAUGUCAGGCACUGAGUCCGAGAGAUAAAAUAUUACAUCUAAUAAACAUGCUACAUAUGGGAUUCGACAAGGGGUCCUUGAAUUACGGAACAACAGAAGCUUCAGAAAAACAAUAACAUUAAUAUUGAAAAAUAAUGACUACCACUUCCAUCAUGGAAAAAAAACCCCGCAUUUUAAUAAACAGGAGGGAAAUUCAGGAAACUCCAAGAAAACAGCUAAUGACAUCCCUUGCCUUAGAAGGAUUAUCAAGGUGAACCAGCAGAAUGGUGGGCACCAGGCCUGGGAGAGUCCAGAAUUCAGAAAAACAAGGAGACUUGACUGAAAAGCAAAAGAUAUUUUAAAAAACUGUAGAAAAGUAAAUUCGAGGAUAGAGACAGGGCCAUGAUUUGUGAGGGGUGGGGGUGUGUCAUGAAAUGGCUGUGGGGGGACAGUGGCAUACGACUCUAUUUGCCAUCAGUGGUCAAAUCAGCACCUCUCUACUGCAGACUGUCUUGUCCCUUACUCCCCACCUCAGGGACACAUCUUGGGAUGUGCCUUUAGUGGGCAAUGGUCACACAUCCCCUUACAACAUCAAAGAGCCACCUGGCCUCAAAUGUCAAGAAUUCCAUGCUUGAGAAUCCAGGGUUUAAACCUGUUUUUCUCAUUUUCCUGUCAAAAGAGUCCACUUGCUUGUAACCGACUCCACACUCCUUCUCUUGGGGUCCACACUGGGCUCUCGAGUCAUGAUUUGUGUUUUGACAGGCUCUGGCUCAUCAGCAUCUUCUAAAUAGAAUUUGAGCGUUAUUAUUGAGGACAUCAAAACUACAUCCAUCAAUGAGCAGUCACAAUAGAGGUUGCUUGUCAAGGAGCCACUAUCUCUGAUUUAGCAGACACACCCGGGAGGAAGUCACCGAAUCUCAGAUAUGGAGAGAGGAACUGGGAGAAAGGUGUACAAGCUGCUAAUUCAGGAUGCCGCUCAAUUCUGUCUUAGCCCACAGAGGCUUGGUCCUUUUGGGCAAGUACGGGGCUUUUACAACCUCAGUACUAAUAACACACGAGGCUUGGUAACUUCUUCCUGGGGGUGGUGAUAGGGCUGUCCAAGUGCUUCAGGAUGUCAGCAUCAUCGCUGACCACUACUCCCUAGAUGCCAGGGCUCCUCCCUCCCACCACCCUCAUCAUGACAACCCAAAAGUUCUCUGGCCAUUGCCAACCUUCUCCUGGAGAGUGAAAUUGCCCCUGUGGAGAACUGUUAGCUUGGACAGUGCAUACUUUGGAGUUUCAGCCCUGAAACACUCUGAGGACUGCAGAGAUGGAAAACAAAUGGGUCGGAAUAAGAAAAGACCAAUCCCUCACCAUCUUGCCUUCCCCCACCCUUAGAAAUGCACCUGCUUUAUCUGCACUAUGUGUGACUUUGAGUCUUCCUGCCAGUAAUUACUAGUGUCCAAGAGAGUAUACCAAGGGAAUCCAAUAGGUAUCACACUCAGGCCUCUGCCCCACUUGGCCUGAGUGACAAUCACCUGUCUCCCUUCUGGGCUUUGAUUCCUAUAGGAGACUCCCCAUCCCAUGUGAAUACGGUAAUCAUGGCAGAGAUGCACCAGUUCCUGAACAUGGGCCACCUGGCUCUCAACUCCUUCUUAGUUUUGGACAGGACUGUGCUGGGAGUGGACUUUGACUCUGAUGUUGAGGAAUAAGAAGUGAACUUGGACUGUACAGCCAAUGAGGCAAAGUGCAGGAAGUUUUAGCCGUUUUACUCCAGUCUCCUGAUGCCCAUGAUUCCUAUCCACAUAUUUGCCUCUUUCUCUCUAAUUAAAAAAAGAAAAAAAAAUAGAUAAAAUUCCAAUCACUGUUGAAAUUAAGUGGUGAAUGAUGAGUGAGAAUUUUCAUACUUUCCUCUCUAUUUGUGUGUAUGUUUCAUAGUUAUCAUAAUAAUUUUUUUUUGAAGUUCUCCUGCCCACCUUUCUGUAGAAAACAAAACUGCUCAUCUCCUGCUUGAGUCUAGUCUGAGUUCCUAAGUACAGCUUUCUGGGGACCUGGCAUUCACUGUGACUCCUAACUUCCAAGCUUCCCUUUCUUUGGUAGAGGAGCUGGUGGCUCUGGGUGGCUCUGGGCUUGGGAGGCACCAUGAGCCACCAGUCCUUGCUAUGCAAGACCAUCUUCUUCCUGCCUUUGUGGCCCUGUCCCUCUCCCUUCUCCCGCCCUGUGGCCUGGAACCAGGUGCAGCAGCUAGAGGCCCCUGCUGCCCAGUCCUGUCUUCCUCGGGCUCAGUGACCGAGUCAGCUGCAGCAGAGUGCAGACAGCAAGGUAAGACAAGGCGGGGUUUGGCACGAGGCUCCGGCUCCGGGACAGGUUCUUUCUCCUUUCCUUCCUCAUUAUUCAAACUCUGAGUAACAGAGUGACGCGGGGAGCGGGGUAGACAUCAGCUGCUGAAUAGUUUACAAAGAUGUUUCUGUCCUGAAGCUCAGUUUAGAGUCAGCUUUGGAGGAAAGGGAAGGGAACCAGCAGCCUGGUUUCCUUGGGUAAGACGCCCUCGACAUUUCCCAUUUUUUCCUAUCAGGAAGAAGGCAGCAGCAUAGGUUUUUGUGCAUCAGUUUAAAGUUUUGCUAUUAAUCACAUGAGCAUAACCUUCACUCCACCAGUGUGCCAAAAAUAGACUUUUGGAACACAAACCGCAUCCUUCUAACCUGACAGCUGCUUGGGUGAUCAGGAAGCCUGGUGGGCCUCAAGCUGCCUGGGGAAGACAGAUCCUGCCUCCCUUGCCUUCUCUCUCUCUUUCUACACCUCCUCCCUCAAUGAGGAUUGAGCCUGUCUAGAGGGACUUGACCUGUGCUCCUUGUGAGGGGAACUGUAGGCCUAGCGCAGGGCAUCCUAGCAGGUUCUCUGCAAGGAGCGAAGCAGGAGCCUCUCGUCACGGCCUUGAGGUUCCUGGGCUAGGGCAUAUUCUUGGUGAAUUCUCCUUUUCAUUUACUAUUCAAAAAUCAUCCAUCAGUUCAAGUGUGUAUCCAAGACGGUGCUAAGCACCAUGGGGUUGUAAAGGGUACCACUUCCAGCACUACUGAGGCGACUGUUGAUGAUGGCCACACACAAGUCUGACUCUCAGUGGGCCCCCGUGGGGUGGCAUGGGACCAGUAUGGGGCUGGAGGCAGGAAGGCAGAGGUAUGGGUAUGAGCCACUCUGUGAAGAGCGUGGCAUGGGGAAGAGGACCUGGGUUUGUUCUGUGAGGGAACUAGGAGCUGGUGUGCCGGUGAGUGGGGUGGAGGGGUGAGGGCAGAGCAAGGAGAAGCCCAAGAGGCAGCCACAAACAAGACUGGAAUGAGAGCCGUAACAGCCUGCACUACCCGAUGUGUGACUGAGCUUCAGACAGGGAGGUCGUGGAGAGACAGAGCAGCCCACGACCUCCCUCGGUGCCAGGAAGCCUCCAACAGACCAGACCUAGGGCCAUGUUGUCUUCUAAACAAAUGUAUUGAUCUUUAAUUGACAUGCAAUUAAACUGCCCAUUUUUCAGGUGCACACUUCAGUGAGUUUUCACAUCUUUCCUGAAACUGUCACUACAAUCAGAAUAACGGUCAUAUCUGUAAUUCCCCAAAGUUUUCCCACAAACUCUCCAUGUCUCUUCUUCCUCACCAGCUCCAGCACAAGCCACUGCUGAUGUAUUUCCUGUCACAGUUAGAUUAGUUUGCUCCUUUGUGUCUCUCUGCCUGCACUUGGCAUAUUUAAUUUGAGGUCCUUCCAUACUGGUGAGUGGACCAGCAAAAUCGAGUCCUUCCAACAGCUGAGGGUGGUAUUCUGCUGUGUGGACAGAUGGCAAUGUGUCUCUCCACUCACCUAGGGGAGGUGACAGCUGCUGGGGGUGUUUUCAUCUGUGACAGUCAAGCUGUUGUGAACAUGGGGUCUGAGUUUUAACUUACACCCAUGCUUUCCUUCCCCCUGAGUGAAGCCUUCAUCCUGGGGAGCACAUGAGAGGCAAGCGCUAUGCUGAGGAUGGUUGGCCCCUCCAAACUCACACUGAGAUUUCACUCCUAUUAUAAAGUAUGAGCAAAUGGGACCAAUAGGACCUUUGAAAGGUGAUUAGGACUCUGCCAUCGUGAACGGAUAAUCCAGUCACCCAUUUAGUGAGCUAGUAGGUUAGUUUGAGAUGGAGUCUAUUUUAUGUCACUUUGAGGGCUGGAGUGUAGUUCAGGGCCAAAUACUUGCCUAGCACAUGUGAAUGAGACUUGGGUUGAAUCCCCAGAAUAUUAAAUUAAAAACAACAAAGGCCACGUGGCUAGGUCUCUUGAGUGCUCAGGGUCUCUCACCGUGGGCUGCCUGUGCUGCCUUAGGACUCCUCCAGCCAGAAGGUCACCACCAGGUGCCACCCCUUGGCCUCAGACCAGAACCUUGGGCUGAAAUUAACCUCUUUCCUUUAUAUUGUACCCAUUCAUUGGUAUUGUGUCUUAGCAAUAGAGUUGAUUAAGAUGGCAUGCAUUUGGGCUGGGGAUGUGGCUCAAGCGGUAGCGCGCUCGCCUGGCAUGCAUGCGGCCUGGGUUCGAUCCUCAGCACCACAUACAAACAAAGAUGUUGUGUCUGCCGAAAACUAAAAAAUAAAUAUUAAAAAAGUUCUCUCUCUCUCUCUCUCAUCUCUCUCUCUCAAAAAAAAAAAAAGAUGGCAUGCAUCUAACUGUGUAAGAAACUGUCAAACUUUUGCAUUUCCCAGUUCCAUCAGCUAUGUAUGGGUGGUUAUUUCUCGUUUUCUACAAUACUUGAUAUUAUCAGCCUUUUAAAUUGUAGCCAUGCUAGCAGUGGAAUGGAAUACCUUGGUUGCUUUUAAGAUUUUUUUCCUUUAUAACUGGUUCAUGGGGCUUUGAUGAGAACUAUAAAGCCACUGAUCCAAAAACCACAUUUAUUGUGCUUGGGUUUCACUGAGCUUUCUCCAUCAGUGGAUUUAUAGUUUUCAUCAAAUAUGAACCUUUCUCAGCUAUUUUUCUUCAACUAUUUUUUUUUCUUUUGUCUCCUUGUAAUAGAAGCUUCUGACAUGGUCUCCAUGAUAUCUGCCUCUUGUUGUUUAUACCCUAUUGUCUUUUCUCACCUUCUAUCAUGCUAAGUUAACGUGACAAAAUAUGGCAGGUGUGAUGACAUGUUGUCGCCAACUUCAAUUCAUAAAAUAAUGUUGUGGUUUUCACUUUGUUUUCUCUCUCCUCUCUCCUCAUGGCUCUGGGAGGAGCCAUGUUGUGAGGAUGCUCAAGUAGCUUGAGGAAAGGCCCCCAUGGAGAGGGGCUGAGGCUAGCUGACAACUACACAACUGAGCUUCAAGCAAAUUCUCCCCGGAUGGAGCUUUAAGAAAUGUACGGCCUGCACCACCAGCUUGAAUGCAACCUCACAGCUGCAUGAAUGAGUCCAAAUUAGUGAUGAAGCACAAGAUCUCUUACUCUCGGAACCUGAAGGAGAAAUGAUGAUUGCUUUAGGCUGCUAAGACUGGCAGUUUUGCUCCUGAAGUGACAGAGAACCAGUGUGACCGCUCUUCCUUUUUUCCACUUCAGUUAGUAUGUUAGGCUGACUAAAUUCCACACCUCACAGGUGCUGGGUUCUCUUUUUUACCUGUCUACUCAUUCUCUUUUAUUUUGACAACUAUCUUUUACUUUGAGUUCAAAUUUAGUACCAGGCCUUCUGCAACAACAAGUAUUUCACUUAUACCAUUCCCUGCAUUUUUCAGUUUAGACAUUAUAGUUUUCGUCUCUAGAAGUUUGAGUUGGCCCCUUUGUAAUAUCUUCUAUUUCUUUACUUAACUUGUGUCUGCUGAUUCUGUUGUGUUUGUAAUUUCCAUGUUAGUCCAUGGAUCGUGCUUCUUGUUCCAUUUUCCUGCAUAUUUGGAUGCCUGGUGGUUUUUACUGGGGGCCCGACCUUGUGAAGUUACACUCAUUGAAUGCUAGAUGUUUUUGUAUUUGAAGAACGAUUCUUGAAGUUUCUUCUAGGACCUGUUUGAGUUGCAAGAAAACACUCUUGAGUUUUUGGAGCCUUGCUCUCAGGCUCUGUGAGAGGGAGGGGAGCACUGUUUGGUCCAGAGCCAACUUCCCCCUACUAGAGGGGGGCAUUGCUCUCAGUAUUCUCCUGAGGCUCUGUGAAUGAUGGGCUCUCCAUUCUGCUGAGGCUCCGACUCGCGGAGAGCUCAGGACUCCCCUCUCUUCCUCUCAGGGCACAGUCCUGGGUGUUUCCUCAGGUGGGUGCAGUGAGCAGCCCGUUGGGAGGCCUUCUCUCUGUGGUCCUUUCCUCCCUGCUUCUUUUCCCUGCAGACUCGACCACUCCCUCCUCCCUCACCACCCAGCUCCAUGACCUCAGGGAACCCACAGGGUCUUACCUCAGUUCCUCCAAUUCCGAGAACUCUAGGCAAUACGCUGGGGAAAUUGUGAGGUUCGCUUUAUGCCUGUGCUUCAGGGAUUCCUGCUUUUGUGACUCAUGUCAAUGUGUUCCAAGAUAUUUUACAUCUAUAAUGCCUUUCUUCCCUCCAGUUGUUCCAGGUGAAGAAUGAACGUGGUCCCUGGUAACUCCAAGUUGGUGAGGGUGGAAGUCUUUCUGGGAUCCUGAAGAACACCUGGCUGGGGCUACCAGAGGGAGCGAAUGGUCAGGCUGGAAGCCAGAUGUCCUGGUACUGGGACAAGCACUCAUGGCAGGGGAGGAUUUACCUUGGGGCUGGGACAGCAGGAAGAAGNUCUCCCCGGAUGGAGCUUUAAGAAAUGUACGGCCUGCACCACCAGCUUGAAUGCAACCUCACAGCUGCAUGAAUGAGUCCAAAUUAGUGAUGAAGCACAAGAUUUCUUACUCUCGGAACCUGAAGGAGAAAUGAUGAUUGCUUUAGGCUGCUAAGACUGGCAGUUUUGCUCCUGAAGUGACAGAGAACCAGUGUGACCGCUCUUCCUUUUUUCCACUUCAGUUAGUAUGUUAGGCUGACUAAAUUCCACACCUCACAGGUGCUGGGUUCUCUUUUUUACCUGUCUACUCAUUCUCUUUUAUUUUGACAACUAUCUUUUACUUUGAGUUCAAAUUUAGUACCAGGCCUUCUGCAACAACAAGUAUUUCACUUAUACCAUUCCCUGCAUUUUUCAGUUUAGACAUUAUAGUUUUCGUCUCUAGAAGUUUGAGUUGGCCCCUUUGUAAUAUCUUCUAUUUCUUUACUUAACUUGUGUCUGCUGAUUCUGUUGUGUUUGUAAUUUCCAUGUUAGUCCAUGGAUCGUGCUUCUUGUUCCAUUUUCCUGCAUAUUUGGAUGCCUGGUGGUUUUUACUGGGGGCCCGACCUUGUGAAGUUACACUCAUUGAAUGCUAGAUGUUUUUGUAUUUGAAGAACGAUUCUUGAAGUUUCUUCUAGGACCUGUUUGAGUUGCAAGAAAACACUCUUGAGUUUUUGGAGCCUUGCUCUCAGGCUCUGUGAGAGGGAGGGGAGCACUGUUUGGUCCAGAGCCAACUUCCCCCUACUAGAGGGGGGCAUUGCUCUCAGUAUUCUCCUGAGGCUCUGUGAAUGAUGGGCUCUCCAUUCUGCUGAGGCUCCGACUCGCGGAGAGCUCAGGACUCCCCUCUCUUCCUCUCAGGGCACAGUCCUGGGUGUUUCCUCAUGUGGGUGCAGUGAGCAGCCCGUUGGGAGGCCUUCUCUCUGUGGUCCUUUCCUCCCUGCUUCUUUUCCCUGCAGACUCGACCACUCCCUCCUCCCUCACCACCCAGCUCCAUGACCUCAGGGAACCCACAGGGUCUUACCUCAGUUCCUCCAAUUCCGAGAACUCUAGGCAAUACGCUGGGGAAAUUGUGAGGUUCGCUUUAUGCCUGUGCUUCAGGGAUUCCUGCUUUUGUGACUCAUGUCAAUGUGUUCCAAGAUAUUUUAUAUCUGUAAUGCCUUUCUUCCCUCCAGUUGUUCCAGGUGAAGAAUGAAUGUGGUCCCUGGUAACUCCAAGUUGGUGAGGGUGGAAGUCUUUCUGGGAUCCUGAAGAACACCUGGCUGGGGCUACCAGAGGGAGCGAAUGGUCAGGCUGGAAGCCAGAUGUCCUGGUACUGGGACAAGCACUCAUGGCAGGGGAGGAUUUACCUUGGGGCUGGGACAGCAGGAAGAAGGAUCUGGAGGCACUGAGGGGUGAAGAGCAAGCAAGAAGCAGCACGGUUGACCCCGUUUCCUACCUUGGGGAACCUGGGAAAUCACCCCCAGCUUUGUAGGAUUCCCAAGGAACUCUCGUGUGGCAUGAGCCACAGAUUUCCUAAUCCCUCUCAACAAGAAUCACGGUACUUCACCAUCACACCAUGGAGCAUGAAGGGAAGUGUCAGAAAAGAAUGUGUGACACGGUGCGCGAAAGACACGAAGGCCCGAGAGGAACACGAGAGUCGGUAAAGAUUAUCUAAAGUGGGAAAAAAUGCAGCCUCAACAAUGGAGCCAUCAGUGCCGUGGAACCUGUCUAGUUAGCCACUUCAUCCCGACCACUGUUUCUUUCAUGAUAUGAUCCAUGUUUUUCUGCUAUUAUUCUUUCCAAAGACUUAAACUUAUUAAAUUUUAAAAACCCCACACACCUUAUUAACUGAAACAUCAGAGGAGAACAAUUGACAACUCACACUAGAGGAAGAAAACAUCUCGACUACAAAUACGUCUCCUCUGGGUUCUUUAGGUGCUGGAUAUUUAAGCAUUGGGCAACCACACUAUGUUCUAAACCAAGACACAAUUAAUAAUCACCAUUUACAGAGUCCGUGCAGAGUAUAGGAAGCUCUGCUUUUAUCCACUGUUUAAUUUCAUCUUUUUAACCACCCCAAGAAGUGGAUGGAAAGGCUGGGUGAGUCAUUCUUAACGUUAAGAGGAGGAACCGGGGCUGCAAGCCUAGUGUCACACAGUGGGUGACUUUCAGAAUCUGACUCCAAAUUUAGCCAUUUUACCAUUCUGUAAGGCUUCGGGCUUUUCUUGCAACUGAAGAGAGAAAAACUUUAGUUUUGCAAGUAGAAUCCAGCUCUUGACGCAAUGCCACACUGUUGAAACAGGUGGGCAGAGUCACCACCAACGGGAAGGUGAGGGAAGGCAAGGUGCUGCUCCAUUUUGGUCCUCUGAAUGACAUCUUGAUGGCACUAUCAAUGCAACUUCAAAACCAAAGACAGAAGAGUGACACCCUGCCAUCUCACCAGCUACUUGGAGUCAUGCAAGGCAAGUGAGAAAUCUCAGCAGUUCUUAGUAUGAAAUGAUUUUUCCAUAGAAAAUCGUCAGUCAAUCUAGUUUGAGUCGAUAAAAAUAACUUAAAUAGUUUUACCUGAAAUAGUGGGGUAAUGUGUUUUCUUUCCUUCAAGCCCUGUGUCCAUUUUGCUGUUUAGCAAGAUGACCUAGAAGUCUCCAAAGUGAGAACCAGUAUGGAGGAACUGAUCAUAGCCUCGGAGCCCAUCUGAAGCUCGAUUUCCUCUGAUGCAGCCUUUCCAUUUGUAUAAGCCACAGAGAACUCUUUCUGCUCUUGACCACCUGAAGCCGAAUCUGCAGAUGAUGGACACAAGCUUCAUCUUGGUUUUUCUCCAGGACAUUUCCAUGGAGUUGGAAAUCUGACCUUUGAUUUUUUUCUCUGUCAGAGAUGUUGUGUAGUAAGAUGACCAGAGUGUGGAUCUGGAGUCUGACAAAGUUGGUGCUGAAUUUUGAAAUUGAGAGUUACCACGUGGAUGACGUUAGGAGUCUCGGUCAUUUUAUCAUUAAGAUGAGUUCAAUAACCGUAGAGUGCCCUAGUCCAUUUGGGCUGUUAUAAUCAAAUACCUGGGAUUGAAUGGCUUAUAAACAGCAGGAAUUUACUUCUCACAGUUCUGGAAGGAUCUGGAAGACCCAGGUCAAGGACAUGGCAGACUUGGUGUCUGGUGAAGGCCUAUUUCCUGGUUGAUAGACGGCAUUUUCUUGCUGUGUGGAAGGGCAGGGCAGCUCUCUGGAGCCUCUUUUAGAAGGACACUGAUCCCAUCCAAGAGAGCCCCCCACCUCAUGUCUUCAUCAUUUCCAAAGGCCCACAUCCUAACACUAUCACUCUGUUGAUUAAGUUUCAACAUCAAUUUAAGGACACACAUUCAGGCCAUAGCCAUUGGAUAUAGUGUGCACAACCAGAAACUCCCAGGAUUUCAUGGUAUGUUCUUGCCCUGGGCUGCAUUCAAACAUACACAUGCCAGCAACUAAAACAUAGCUGAAAGCACUUCCCAUUUUAUUUAUCUUCUUAAAAAUAUCAAAGAAAUCUGAAGACUACAUACUUAAUACAUAUCAAAUAUCCACAAUUCUAAUUUUCCCAUCAUGAUUGCACUUAAAAUUCCCCAAUAGCUUAUUCUCAACAUUUUUUCUCCUCUGCUUGCAAUUCCAAACCCAGCCCACAUAGCUUGCUUCUCUCUCUCUCCCUCUGCCGACUCUCUCUGCUCUGUAUUAUAUGGAUCAUUUGUCUUUCUAGAAUUUUCUAUAUUUUUCUUUUUCUUGUCUGAUUUACAAGUUCUUUACCUCAGAGGAGAACACUUGAUGUGAUUUAGCAUGCAGGGAUCUUUCUCCUCUAGAAGUCAGGGCAGUGGGUAAGACUGAGUAUCUGCUCAUCAACAGUCUGGUUAAAGAUACACUAAUUUUUGCUCAUGUUCCAAGAGACAAGUGCUUACACUGAACUCACACAGAGUUGGUGCUCAGUACUGUGUGCUCCAUUCUUUGAACCUGAUCUUGUGAAGAUGGACAAUUAUGGAUUUUAGCUUGAGGAUCUCCAUCUCCCUGAGUUGACAGCAAGCCUUUGGAAGCUUAUAACUAUAUCUGGUGGUUUAUUAAAUUCUCCAAACCUAGAGCCACUCUUUAAUGAGCAUAGGCUGUUCAUUGAAAACAAAAUACUCAUAUGUUCCAAACAACACCAUGACCCUCCUAUACGGCAAAUACUGGCCUAAGUCUCAGAAUUUAAUUUGAAAAAGAUGCAUUCACUAGCUACAAGAGUGUAACAGGCUACUAGAAGGGAUCCACAGAAAAGAAAGGUACACACACAUACACACACCUACAAAUAAUGGAAACACAGUUUGCACUGGUCCCCAGAUCACUUCUACCCAACUGGUGUAGCCAUCUCUGAGCUGUCAUUAGGUGCUGGCUGCUGAUGGCUCAUAGCUUCAUACUUCUACAGGACACAAAUGGAGCUGCCUAGCCCCAUGACACCCAGGAAGUUGCAUUCCCCCCACCUGUGAGCCAAGGACUUUGUGAUAGGGAGCAUAAAAGCCUGGGCUCUGAUUUCCAGGCAGGACAGCCCCUGCUUCAGGGCUCCCACAGGGCCGGGUAAGGACUGGACUUCGGCUGGAAUCUCAUGUCCUCCUACACCAUCUUGCUGGUCACUUUCCUCACAGGUUUCACUUGAGAGCUCUCCCACCAUGAGCCACUUGCAAAAGAACCCCUCCUCAGGCUCUGCAGCUAGGAACGCUGAUGACUCCUCCAGGCAUCGGGGCUUUGCUGAGUGGGUUGCUGCAUUUCCCUUUAAGGGAUGCCUGGGCGUGGGGUUGGAGGAAGAAGGAUGUAGAGGUAGAGACCUAUGAAGUCCGCAGUGCACAAUAGCUGCCCAAGAAACCACAAUGUGUGACCUUCCUUUCCUAGUAUGGGCAAAGCCACCCCAGUGAGAGAAGGUCAUUCCAGAGAAUGCGGGACAGUUCCACUCCUGGAGCCCACGGAAGCUGGUGGAGAGUCAGGUCCCUGAAGGACCCAGGCAUCUGCUUCCUGUGCACAUUGGAGAACCAGCAGUCCAUGUUGGGGCUGUGCCGAGAAGAGCCCUCUGGCAGCAGAGAGGGAGGGCGGUGCCGUGCAGCAGGUCAGGCUCGGUGACAGCCAGGAACGGAGGAACUUGAGAGACAGAGCCAAUGACUUGCAAGGCUGAGGAUUGACAGUGGAAAACACAUUGAAGCAGUUUUUAGAAGAGGAUUCUUCAUCAUGAAGUGACCAAUUUAGAGGGACCAAAGAGCUAUGAUCAUGAAGAGCAGCCAUAUUCUAGCACGUUGAAAGAAUAAAAUAUUAAACCUGAAAGAGGGUGAUUCCAUUAACUAUAUAGGCAAAAAGACAAUUUUAAUGAACAGUGCCACCCCAGUGAAGCAGACAUUAUCCUCCUAUUUGAAACCUCCCUGUAAUUUGAGACAUCACCAUUGUAUUUAAAAGAAUGCCAACUCCAAGAGCUGGUGGAGGGUCAAUGCUCAUUAGCAACCCUGCAAUAAUAGCCAACAAGUGUGAACAGUGAGCCUGGGAUUGAGGAAAGCAAUUUCAGGUAGAAAAUAGACUCUCAUUUCUCUCUCUCUCGCAGGUUAUUAUAGCAACAAGAAAAUGAAAACACUUUUAUUCUUCAAAUUUAUGAAAACACCUUCGCUGCUUCUUGUCACUCUGGGCAGGAAAACAUCUUAAGUCAAUGCGGCCUUCUUUUCUCUGCAUUUAAAUAAAGACAAAUAUCUAUGGAGUAACAGAAAGGGAGAUUCUGAUGAUUCCUUUAUAAAAUGCAAAUGAAAAGCAGUUGUUAGAGAAGAUUUAAUAUUUAAUACAGAAAUCAGAUUACAUUCAUCUUCAUGCUGGUGGUGGGGUGUGUGUGUGCGUGUGUGUGUGUGUGUGUGUGUUUCUCUGAGGUUGCUGGAGGUGUGUGGUCAUUUAGAGUCAACAUAUGCUUUUCUACAUGGAGCAGUUAAUGAUACCUUCAUACUUCGUUGAUUCUUUGUAAGAACCCUGUUGGAUAAGCAUGAGAAAUCCAUUUUAAAGAAGAGAAAACUAAGCCUUGGAAGUAUUGGGUGAUUGAUCCAAGUUUGCUGAGCUUGAAGAGUAAAGUGGAGCUGGGGCAGUCUAGGAGGUGGACUUAGGUGUCCUUGGAAGUGCAGUGUGGUAAGGGGCAGAGCUAGCAAAAUGAGAUCUGUUGUCCCAAAGUCUCAUUGCUCCCUACCACCUAAUGAGCUUGUGCCCGCUCACUGGGGCAGAGGCAGGCUUUUUAGGAUGGCACCAACUUGUCUGCACAUUGGGAUCACCAGGGGAGCUUCUGGACAUGCUGGUACCUGCACAGCCCAGAGAUGAUGAAUUAGCUGCUCUGGGCUGUCACUGUGGCUUUGGAAGUUCCCAAACAUUCCUAGGUAAGUGUGGUACAGUAGUAAAGAACACCUUCUAUGAAGCCACAUGGACCUGGGUUCAAAUCCCAGAUUAAUACUUACUAGCCUAGCCACGUGGCUUGGGCAGCUCACUUCCUGUCCCAGGCUCCCUGAGGUACCUGCUCUGUAGGUGCUGUGAAGAUUGAUAGAAUGAAUAGAUAGGAAGUGCCUAGACAUGUUUCCCAUUAUUGUUUUAUUAAAAUAGUUAUAAAUAAGAAAACAAAAAGAUGGGCCCCUGGUUUCCAUCCUGGGGAUCUAGGAGGAAGAAUAUUUCAAUAAAAAAAAAAAGACCACCUGGAUAAGGCCACUGUCAGAACUCAAGAUAAGGGAAAAUUCAAUCGACUCUUAGAGCUUCAGUGUUGGACACAUAACUUACACAGUGGGGUCCCUCUGCACCCUACCAGGGCAUAUUCACACUGUAAUAGCACAGAGGUCCAGAGAGGCUAAAGGGCUGUUGCAAAGUCACAUAGCUAUUAGAGGACUGUUGAGUUAGGACCUGGGACUCCUCCAUCGUUCCCUGGAGCAACCUCUGCUCUGUAGUGGCUGUUCUCGGAGACCCCUAGGGGUUGGGUGAGGCUCACGAAGCUGGAGGAGCAUGCAGGCUCCUGUGUACCCCUUUGACUUGCAGUGACCCUGACUCACGCCCUCUUGAGGGACAGGCCUCAAUUGACCAGCUGGGCUGGUGUUUGUCACAUGUUCUCUGUGUACUUCUUCAACAUGCCCUGGCUAGUAGAAAAAUUCUCUUUAAAGAGUCUCUGAAUUGGAAUCAUACCAAGAGGAUUUGAUUUGCCUUUCAGCAUUUUAAAGGGAGACUUUUGCUUGUGUACCUAAGCAGUCAGCUCCGACCUUUUGUCUGUGAGCGGUCUCCUGCGCCGCGUAGGGUGCGCUGUAGUCACCGCACAGCAUCUGAGCUGUUCUCUCUGCCUGUGUGUUUUGAAAGGCCAUUUAACCAUUUAACACUUCUUUUCAAACAAAAUCCUUGAGAAAAUGUCAGCCUUUGCAUGGGCAUAAGGUAGAGGGAAAGGUGCUCUUUGGAGUUAAGCAGACAGCGUUGUAUGCAGACACAGGGUGCAAAACACUCAAUUUUUCUAUCUUUAAAAUGGGGACCCUGCCAACCUUGUAGUGAAGCUGUUGGGUCACAUGAGAUAACAUGCAUCUCGAAAAGUGUGUACUAAGAUUCUUGCCUGGUGGGUGGUUAGGAAGAGGAAUGGCCUCUGCUCUGGCAGUUCACAUGGAGGAACGAGGUUGAUGCCUCAGCGUGCGUGAGGACAGAUCUCCCUGGCUCAGUUUCCUGGGCAGCACUGCGUGGGCUGUGCAAGCCACUCCAGCACCACUGUGGCCCACAAGGAGCUUCCAGCCAAAUCAGAGGCAGGAAAUGAAUGUGCGGACUGGGAAGGUAGGCAAGCUGGGUCGCCCAGGCGAGGAGGGCUACUAGGGCAGCUGUCAGUGUGGCACUAGAGGCCAUAGGCAGAAAUUUCUGACUCACGGGCAAAUUUUCUUUAGCUCUUUCUUGUCUAUCUAUCUAUCUAUGAAAUCAAAUUUGAAUUAGUUGCCAAGAUACUCAGCUCAGGUUUCACUUACAGGAUUUUAUCGCCUGAAUUUCUUUAAAAGGAGGAAGAUACAGAAAUCAGAGAAAACCACCCGCUGUUGCUGUGUCCUACCCACAGAGCAUGCUCUUUCAGUUUGCCCCAGUCCCCACCACCCCAGGCUGUCUCCCCGACUCUGAUGGUCCUUGCAACCUUACCUGCACUGACCACCCACGGCAGAGUUUAGAGGAAAGUGAAAUGUGCCAGGAACCAGGGGAGAUUCAAGGAAAAUACAAGAGAGCACAUGGAGGUGUACAAGGAAAGACCGCCUUACACGAACAAUACGGGAAGCCACAGAGGUUCAUGUCAAGUAAAGAUGAAAUCUAUGUUUUCAUUAUGAAAUGAUAGAAGCUCCUUGGGGACCACGUGGUGCUGGAGUGAUUCGCCCAGGAAACCGAGCCAGGGAGAGCUGUCCUCACGCACACUGAGGAUCCACCUCGUUCCUCCAUGUGAACUGGCAGAGCAGAGGCCGUUCCUCUUCCUCACCACCCACCAGGCAAGAAUCUCAGAGCUCACUUUUCGAGAUGCGUGUAAACUGAUGUGACCUGACAGCUUCACUACAAGGUGGGCAUGGUCCCCAUUUUAAAGAGAGGAAAGUUGCGUGUGUUUUGCACCCUGUGUCCACAAGAAGUACCACGGGUUUAUGGGAAAACUCACAAAAAGAAAAUAAAUAACUGGAAAAUGGUGGCACGGUCCCUCCUGGCCUCAUUUGUUGGUCGCCAUCGGUGCCCUGGCCACUGUGCCUCUCGCCUGCUCCUUGGUAUAAGAAGGUCAGCAUGGAAUCGAAGCCUUACUUUGCCACAAUCAUGCUGCGUGAUAUGAAUCUUUUUGAGACUUGCUGUUCCUUUGCAAAUGGGAAUGAUGGCACUGACCUCCUGGUCUUGGGGGGGACUCAAUGAAACAGGUCUUGGAGAAGCAUGGGAUUGACGUCAAAACAGGCUCCAUGAAUGUGAAUGUGAACGGGCAGCGAAGGGAUUCUGAGGCCUUGGGAGAGGCCACUGAGAAAGUCGGGCAUCGGGGGACUUUCCAAAGGAAGCACCCCCUGGACGGACCAGGUUAGAAUGGCAGAGCCCUUGGUGGGCUGGGCUGGGGCUGGGGGCAUGCAGGAUGCUGAGCUUCCUCACUCUUCUGGGCUGAGGGUCCACGGUGAUGAGGUGACUCGUCCCAUGUAGCUGCUCUGAGUCAGGUCUCCAGAGGCCUGGCCAGGGGGCCCCUCAGCUUCUUAUCUUUUCUGUCAGGGUCAGGCUCACUGUCACUUACGGAUCUCUUUGUGCCAGUUGUUGGCUGGUCCUGGCAGCAGAGAGACGUGGAGACCUAAUUCUGAUUCCAUUCUGCAGACGUCUGACCACAGUUCUGACACUUUAAACUGUGCUGCCCUGGGGACCUCCCUGUAGCUCCUCCUCCUCAGUUUUCCCAUCUGAAACACAGAAACACAACAGUGGCCACCUUAACUGGGGUCUGUCCUGCAUGACACCUGGGCUCCUACUGCAGGUAGCGUGACUGGAUGGGUCCUGUGACUCAGGGCUUACUGGAGAAGAUGAGGUGGGGCUGGGCAGGACCUGAAGGGCUACAGAGAAGGAUCAUAGGGAGAGUGCAGGGGUGGGGGCAUGCCCAGGGGCCCAGAGAGGCAGGCAGACCAGAGAUCGGGAGCAGGGAGCAGGCAGCGGACAGGUAGAUCUGGAAUCCCAGGGCAAGGCUGGGGGAAGAAGGGCCUGGGAUGACCUUUGAAGAGUUUCUAGUGUCUCCUAAGGGUGAUCAGGCGCCUCUGUGUGGCUUACACAGAGCGCAAUGAGCUGUUGAGGUCUGAGGUGUCACUUUUAAGCAUCGGCUCUGUAGGAAGGUCGGGACUCAGGAAGAGUGGACCAGCGACCCCCUGUGAGAGGACCCAGCAGAUGGCAUGAAGUGGGGUUUUCCCUUGAGAGGCCUCAGACUCGCCCUUGGGUUGUUAGGUGUGUUUCGUAUCUUUCAUGCCUUUGACAUGCACGUGUUGCAAGACACCGCCCUUCAGCGUGGCUCGAGGUUUUACGAGGAGAUGACAGCUGUAGCUUCAACUAAGAUUGGUCAAGGAGUUUCUGCCUGCCUGUGGAAAGACCACUCCAGCAAUGCCCGGAGGUGUGGGCUCAGGGGCUUGGAUCAGACAUUCCCUGGAGAUGAGAGCUGGGAGCAGGUGCAAGGCAGGUCUGGGGAGUGCAAGGCAGGUCUGGGGAGCACCAUCCAGACUGAGGGACCCCCAAGGCCAGGGUACUGUGGGCACUUGGUAGGUGUCCAUAGACGAAAUGGAUGAAGGCGGGGGUGGGGGGCAUGAAAACAACUGUACGCCAGGUUGUUCUUAAACUCUACUAAAAGCUAAGUUUGACAUGUCCAAUGUCAAUGCCUUCCUGAUGUUAAGAAAGCACAGACAGGGACAGUCUUCUUGGAUGACCUCUCCCCUGAGGCCGCUUCCUUCUGGCUCUGCUGUCCAGCCGUUUAGACCUGUGUCUUCACGUUCACACAUGCGUGGCAGAGACUUUUGCGCUGGCUGCAUUUGCAGGCAUAGCUCCAGGAACUUUCAGGAGAUGAAAGGAAGAUUUUUUAUUUCUUCACUGAAGUGAUGGAAAACUGAAGCUCCGAGAAGCACAACGCGGAGUCCAGAGUCAGCCCGCCCCAUGCGGCUCUUUAUGCUUAUGAGUUAAAAUAAAAUAAAAUUAGAAACCUGGUUCUCCUGUUGCACUGGCCACGUGGCAAGAGCUUGGUCGCCACAGGUGGCUGCCAGAUUGGACGGUGCAGAUGCCGCCACUUCCAUCCUGGCCAAGAGUUUAAUUGACCAGAGCCGCGGGGCUACACUGGUACCUGAGGGUGGGCGUGAUAAUAUCAUGCAGGAAAGAGAUUUGCAUAGCCUUCCUCCUUUUUACACACUGAUAUUGUACUAAGGGUCCCUUCUUCUGUUCCCUGCAUGCUUAAUUUCAGUCUUCCUGGGAGCUUUUGUUUGUUUGUUUCUUUUCACAUUCUCUGUGGCAGAAGCAUUUCACAUCCAACCUUAUUCAAGGUCAAACCAAUGCAGACCACCAGGGGCUUGGGGGCAUGUCCCUGUGGAGGGCCUUUGAUGCCCUUGUUGUUCUAACCUCUGCCUGGCUUAGGACUGCAGGAAAGGGCUUACCUCGAGGAAUUGCAGGGGGAGGCUGUCAAUUCCACUUACAGCUCUCGCAUCUUUUUAUGAGGCCAGCUUGGAGAAAAUUAUUCUAGACUUGAACUCUUUGGAGUGACUUGUUAUAUACUUUUCCUCCCUAGAUCCUAUAACAGACUGUUUCCUGCUUCAUUUUCCCUGCUGGGAAGCUCAGAUCUAAAUUUUUGACUCAACUUGAACAUCAGUGAAGAGCUGUCUAACGCACAUUGCUGUGAUCUUGUUUUCCUCUAUUUUAUUAAUCUCUGUCUCCGCUCACAUUGUGGGUUUUUUUUUUAUCCUGUGCUCAUCGUACAAUUUCUCUUGGCCUUUCUUUCCACCUCGAGAUGGAACAGAAAUGCAAUGUGCAGUGGGCGGUGGGCGAUGGCUCAGCUGAACACCUGAGCUUUGGAAGGUCACACCAAAUGGAAGGCACUAUUUGAGAAUCAGGUGGCCUCUGCCCCCAAGUCAGCCUUGACAUGGGAGUGGGCCUCCGCAGGGAAGGGAGGGCCGGAGACCUGUCUGAGCGUGUUCAGGCUCUGGGCUGACUUAGGAUGGCCCCACCUGUCCCCUUCUGAUUAUAAUCGGUGACAUCUCAGCUGAGUCACGUAAACCUCUGGCCUCUCUCCUUGCAGGGAGUGGCUUUCCCAGAACCAUGUCCCACCAGCCUUACCUCCUGGGUCAGUUCUCUGCCUUCCCACGGCAGGACGGAUCUGCUCCUGAUACAAAUUAUCCAUUUUCCUCAGAGCAGCUCUUAGGAGACCUUGGUCAGUAGCAAGGAGUGGCUGAGGGUGUGACCUGCCUGCGGCAGAGCCAGGCAGCCCCAGGAAAGCAGCAAGUCCCUGCCAAGUAGAGAUAGUGCCUCCACUUGGCAAUAGAAGCACCCUAAAUGUGCUUCUUUCUUGCCUCCUAUUAGGAUUUGAUUUAAUUCUUACCUGAUGACUCACCUAUUACAAUGAGACAUAAAAAGGGAAUUUGCAGCUGCCUGCUUAUCAGAAAAGAUCAAGUGUUUCUGUAAUUAAUAUGGAAGAUAACAAUUUAAAAUAAUGAAACACCCAUAAUAUGCUUAGGGGAAGCAGCUUGUUGCUAUAAUUAGAACGAGAAUCAAAUUGUUCUGAUGGCAAACACAUCAUUUAUUGAACUGAAGCUACUCUAUGAAUGGAAGUAAAUAGCACAGUAGGAAAAAAAGAGUAAAAGACAUUUCAUAAAAGUCUGGAUCUGAGGAAGAUCUCAGAAGCAUGCAGGGAGGGGGCGUAACCCAACUGGACGCUCCUGCGCUGCCAUGUGGUACCAUCCACGCACGGGCACAGCAUUUGUUAGGUGUCCUUGGAGGCGCUUGAGAUUUUUCAUAAGUACAUCUCUGCUAAUGUCACAGCUCUGCUUAAACCUCCUCUACAAUAUUAAGUACAAUAAGGUUUGUACCUCUAAGAAUAUGAACACACGCAUCCUCUGAUAGCCAUGUAGAAAGUUCCAGAAUGUUACAUAGGAAGCAGUGGUUCUUCUUUAAGUCAAAUUUAUCUGGGAGAUGGAAACUGAAGAUGCACUUAAAAAAGUCACAAGUAUACAUUAUUUUAUAGUCAAAAAGUUGUCCUUUUAUUUCCCGCGACUCUCACGUUCUUGAGAUAUUUGAGUGCCAGUUCCCUGGGUGGUGUUGACUGUCCAGUGUGUCUGACUGUCUCUGGCCAGGGUCCUCCUGCACAGGUUCCAGCCCUUGGGCUGCAGUCUUCUGGGCAGCUCGGAUCCCUGGCCUCCCUGGGUCUUCAGGCCUUUGUCCCUGCUAACCUUGUGGCUUCCAACCUUCUCCCCACCUUUCUUGCUUGGAAGGCUCCUAGUCCAGGGAAGGCCUGAUGGAAAGGUCCCCUCCUCUUCGCAGCCCUUCUCAGACCCACCCUUUGCCCUGGGUCUGAGAUUCAUUCUCUCCCUUCUCCUCUGAGGCCUGGUGGCCUGUCACACAAACGCACCUCAGGACCCUGUUCUCGGCAUGUACGUGCUUCCUCGUCCCAGCUUUUAUGUGUCUGUGUGAGCGCGCCUGGCACGUAGAAGGUAAAGAUGUUUGCUAAAACGGUGUUAGAUUGAUGUGGGUGAACAAGGACACAUUUUGGGUUCAUUAGACAUGUUAAGAUAUUUUUAAAGUUUUGUGGUUUGAGUAAAAUUUGAAAUGCAUUUUGCCAAGUGUGUUUUUCUCUAUUUUGUAAAACCCAUAUGUCAAUUAAGGAGGAGAAGCCAUAUGGUUCUGAUUUCUUUACUCAUAGAUCAGCAUUUCAUUUCUGGGGAUAUCUGAUGUUCAAGAUGCUGCCUGUAUUGUGUGUAUUAACCCCCCUCCACCUUUUGGAAUAUGCUUUUCUUUGAACUGAGGAGACUGACUUUCCCCCAAAUAGAAACUCCCCUCUUGGGGCAGUACCUCUCCACACCCCUAGUUUCCAUCCUCAAACUUGAGGCUUGAGAGAUGGGUCUCAGAUGAAAACUCUUUCCGAAUUUUUCUUGCAAAGAAAAAGGUAGUCAUGAUUCAACAGGCUGAGGGAGAGAGCAGGUGACAAUUCAAGUCGGGACACGAUGGCUUAUUUUCAGAGCCACUAAAGGUAACCCAUCGCCUUGGGGAGAUGGCAAUCCAAUGGAACAGGACUCAUAGAUUAAUGGAAGUAGCCAGGAGAGGCAUGACGUCAUCCCCACCAGUGCUGAAAUUAGAAAUCCUGCCUCUGGUUACAAUGGCUCUUACAAUUCCAUGUGUGCCUUAGUAACUGAACAUCGUCCAUCUCUUGCCUGAGUAUGGUCCCCUCAUGAAAAGGUGGGCUGAACAAUGUCUCCGUCUUCAAGUUUGAAUGAAGAUUUAAUGGAGAUUUGUUUGCAUGAGGUUGGCAAAACUUAGCCAUUUAUCUAAAGGUCUUUGUGAUCUUAUCACUUCCUUAAUCUUUUUUUUGUAAAUCCAAACUGAUUUUUUUAAAAUUUGAUAACGUACCUGAACAAUGAUAUUAGCAAAGGAAACACCACUGUGGUCAAUGGAGAACUGACGCUCCUUGCUGCAGAGGGGCUCCUUACUGUGGAAAAAACCAAGAUGCUCCUUUAUUUUUUUCUGAUGGAAUGUGUCUGCCACCUCUGGUCAUCUUGGUCCUCUUCAGAAGUGCCCGAUCUUGCCUUUGGAAAGCCUCCAGGUGGAAUGCCCUGGAAGCAUCCUGUAACCUGUGUGACUGCUGCUGCUGUCACUGAUGGGGUUAACACCGGGGCUGUCAGGAAUUGUGGCUCUGACCCUGGGCACGUCAUCCUAACUAAUGAGCGACUGUAGAGAAGUGGCCGAACUUUCCUGAGCAGCCCUGCCCACACCUAAGAGCAGGAGGAGAGCAACUCUGCAGGGCGGAGCAAUGUUUUCUGAUCAUUUGCAUCUUUUCUUCCUACUCCUGCAGGACGCCACACUCCUGAGUGGAAAAUGGAGUCUGUCCUGUCAAGGUGACCCCCGUGGUCCAGCCCUCUGAGACUGCCACCGUGGACUUUCUCUAACGGUAACUCAUCAGUUGGCCGUGAUGCAUCUGAGACCCACAGGACUACGUCAGAAUUCCUGUUUUAAAAAUGAGGGCAUCUAGGCUUCAGGAGGUGACAUGCUGUUCCCAGGGCCUUGAGGCUCACGAAGCCUGAGCCAGUUCUAGAAGGAGCCAGAGCCUUCCAGCAGCUGCUUGCUUCUGAGCCACAGAAGAGACAACCCCUGGGACGCAGCAGCAGGAAGCCUGAGAGGUGAGGCUGUGCACGCAGGGUUGGGAGAGGAAAAUACUCCCAAGAUUUCCUGCUUCUGUCUUCCUGUGUGUUUGAACAGGGCACUGAAGGGACAGAGCCGGAAUGCUCUGUUAGUGGCCGGACAGGUCACUCUUUGAACUGGGGAAGUUCAAACGCCGUAUGGAAAUAGAAGGUGUCAGGUCCUAGGACAGUUGCUGGAGAAAUAGAAAUGAUUCAAUUCCACAUCUUCUUGAUGGAGCUGGGGAGACCAACUCAUGGGAAAGUACACUGAAAACCCCAAACAAGAGAAAACAUCAACGACAUCAGGGCACAGCUAGGAUCAAGCCAUGCACGAGGUACUCUGGGAGAAGAGAGAGGCAGAAAUCAUUUGCAUUAAAAAUAUGAAUGUGAGAUAUUCUGAAUGUAGGUUAAUGGAAUCUAAGCCCAAGACUCUUUUGUUUGGCCUUUAAAAGGGGUCAUUUAUUAAGAAAUCUUUUUCCCUCCCAUUGAUAAUGGAAUAACCAUUUUCUAAUCAAAAUCUCCUUCAGUAGAUUUCUAAAACUCUCAGAGUUCUUAUUUUAACAUCUAUAUCAGAAUGCAACUUGCCCUCAAAGUAUGCAGGCUACAAGUUUCAGAAGGCCCCAAGCAUUUUCCAGCAGAUAUUGGAAAAGUCUCAGCAAUCGGAGCUACUGUGAAACAGAAUCUUAAACUUGGCAAUGAGAAGCAGAGGGAUUCAUUUUUAGAUUUUAAAAAUAAAAAUGUCCAUCUUCAAGUCAACACAUUUCCAUGUUUUGGCAUCUAGAACCAUCUUUAAAAAAAAUAGGACAAAAAUUUUCAGCUUACCUUUGUAUUUAUAAAAGACUUGUUUUUUUGUAAAAAUUCCAUGUUACUGAGUCCUUGCAUGACUUGUUCUAGGAAAUACAACCAGGACUUCUGCAUGCAGACUUCUGGACGUGCCGGCCAUGGGGGUUCACCAGCCAGGACAGGGUGAGAGGCCAACCCAAGCCAAGUGCUUUAUAUAAUUGUCCUAGGCCCUGGGAACCCACCAACACUUGGCCAAUGGCUGAGAAUUUCUCCAACCAAGUGGAAAUGACCAUUUAAAAAGUAGCUUCAAGUUUGUAAUAAGUAAAACUUGGUCUGGAUGCAGAAGUUACAUGGGGCCUUAUCUUAUUUGGCUUGCUCUGAUUUUAUUUCCCAAGCACUGGUUGAUGCUUGCAGGUCUGUUACAGAGCUCUGACUGAUGAGUUCUACUGCCGAAAACUGUGAGGGAUUUCUCUGAACCCUAUGCCUAAUUUAUUCAUUUGCAAAGCAGGGAUGGGAAGGGCAUCUUUCCUAGAGCCGCAAAAGAAGUAUUUGCAUGAAAGGUACUUAAAGUGGUGUCUGGCACUUGGUAAGAACUCAAAAAUGGUCAUUCAUUAUUACAGGUGAAUAAUGAUAACAGCUAGCUAUUCCUGCAAAUCCUCACCAAAAACUUUUACUAAGUGCUUUGAUUGUAUCCACUUUGCAGAUGAAAAUAACUGAAGUGAAAAAGCUAAGCUAAUCUUUUCUAUGGCAUCUCAAGAAAGAUUUCAGGAUUUUAAAUGGAAAGAAGAUCUAUUGGCUUUGAGGUCCAGGUGGACCCAUCUCCCACUCAACCUAUGCAGAGUUGGAGGUGCGCCUAGACUAUUUACAAAACUUUAGACAGAAAAGUGAAAAACUCAGUCUUUCACCCUGUUUCCUUACCUGAACAAGGCCAUACAUAUCAGGGUUUUUUGUUUGCUUUUAAUUUUGUGCCACAGAUUUGACUGAAUACCACAGGUAACGAUGACCAUUUGUAGAAGAAACACCUGUGACGGCAUCUUAUACUCACCUGCCCCCACAGCAAGGUGAGCAGCAGGUGUUGGUGUGGCAGCCUCUCUGCCAAGUCUGACUGUGAGGUGGUGGAGGCAGAAAUGAAGUCCUGGCCUGUUUGAUUUUAAAAGCUCAGGUACUUUUUAAAGAAAAAAAAUGAUCUUUUUACAGUUUGUUUAAAGUCUUGAAGCAAUGGAUCCAAAAAAGCAAACAAAAAAGUGGGAAGAAGACAGUCUCCAAUAAUUCCAUCAAUCAGGGGAGAACAUUUUUACAUUUUGUUUAUUUUCUUCUAAGAUUUGUUCUAUGCUUUAAAAAAAAAUUUAGUGAGAUUACAGUAGAUACAAUUAUUUGUAGUUUGAAUUUAAUUAUUUGGUAAAGAAUUUAGAAAAAGAGAGAUUCUAGUUAUGUAUUUAAAAAUUCCAUAUGACACCCAGAUAAAGUUUAUUUAAAGAAUCCAAAGUGUAUUCAACAGUGGAAAAUCUGUCCAAAUAAUUAUUAAUGGUCUAUGAUAUAAAAAUAAAUUAUCUAAGUAAUUUAAAAUUGAAAAUCAUUUAAUAAAAUGACCUAUAAAUUGGGAUAAAGAAAAAUCCUAGCAUCCUUGAGAUGACAGAAACCUUUCUCAAUCAUAAUUAUCAUGAAUCACCAUCAUGUGGCCCUCAGUAGAGAAACUGUCACACAGUGCCAUUCUGUUAUACUCACACAGUAAAUACAUGUUAAUCACUUAGUGGAGGAAGCCCUUCUAGUGAUGGGGGAAGAGGUGAAUUGGCAACAAAGUCCUAGACUUUGAAGUUAAAUAAGAAAAGGAAAUAAGUUAACUACAGUCUAUUAACAGCAGUGAUUCUGCCAUAAUUUGCAAGCGUUGGUCACAGAGAACCAGCUGAUUAACUGCCAGGACUAGCAAAGGAGGGGCCAGACCUCUCACAUCAGCCAAAAGUUGCAAUGUUACAGUUUGCUGUUGGUAGGUCAAUGAUCCUUUUAAAGCCAACCGCAGUACUCCCCUGGAGCCAGAACACUGAGGAAGCGUUCAGUGCUGAACUUCAACAGAAACGUGCUCAAUCACUUCAAAAAAUUCAUAGUAUUUUAAUAAGGAGCAUGAAAGGGAACUGGAUAAAUUGAGAAAACACUAUGGUGGUGAGUGGGAAGGAUCAACAUCGACAUUCUCCAUAAUUUUUCUAUAAUUUUAAUUCAAUCCAUUCAAACACAAACAGGAGUUUAUUCAUUUAUAUUUUUUUUAAUACAAGGGCCUUAACAAAGUAGUUUCAAAUUUGUUAAUGCCAGGACAGAUCUGAAGCCAUUUAGGAAAAUGCCUUGCACAAAAAUUAUUUUCAUAUUGUCACUUACACUGUAAGGAAACCUAGGUGAAUAUGUUCUGGGCCUUCAUGUUUAUAUGUCUCUUUAACAAGACACAAGAUCAUUGGGCUGGGAAGGUAGCUCAGUGGUAGAGCAUUUGCUUCAUGUGUGUGAGACCCUGGGUUCAAGUACUGAAAAGAAAAAGAAAAAAAAAAGGAAAGACUGGUCUAUCUGAAAAUAUCAACAUUUAAGACUAUAUAUUAAAAAAGUUAAAAUUGACCAAUGGUAAUCUAGGAGAAAAUACCACCCUACAUAUAUUAAAAAUAUAAAGGAAUGAUAUCAAAUGUCUGAAUACCUGCAGAGCACAUGUCAAUAAGCAAAAUAAAAAUAACAACAAAAAGACCAAAAGCCUAAACUGGCCCUGAAGAGUACAGGAAAUCCAACAGGCCAAGAAGCAUGUGAAAAUUGACUUUCCUAAGAAAACAUCCGGCAAAUGUACGUGACAAGAAGAGUGACAUAAAAUCCACCUUCCCAUCAGUUUGGAAAAAUGUUACUGAGUAAGAGUAGCAAGCACUGGUAGAGUGUGAGUGGACACCAUGGAACUGCUAGCGGGGUAUGAGGCUGAGCCCGGCGUGGACCUCCUCUGUGCCUGGAAGAAGGGCCCUGUUCAAACUAAGUUAUGUCCUCAAUAUAGAACCCUGCACAUCAGUUUAAAUUCCUCAGGUCUUUCUGUGUGCAGAUGUUGAGAAACUGCCUUAAUAUGUGUCAAAAAUCAGUAAAACUAAGUGCGGGCCACUAUGCAACCCUCCACCCCAUUCAUAUGAAGCUAUGUCACAUGCACACACGGACCCAUUGCUAUGGCUGUCAUAUCACAUGUAAGCAAAUGCACAGGAAGACAUCCAGAGGGAGAGUUUUAAAAUAUAGCAACGAUUAACUUGGGGGCAAGUAGGCACAUUGUGAAGGACUUCAGUCUGAGCUAGAUGUCUUGAGUAUUUUUUUCAGUGCUGAAAAUAUUUUUGUGUGUGGCUUGCAUAAUAUAGUUUAUGGAGAAUUGGAUUAUAUAAGGAAGAAAUGAAUCUCCUUAAUCCAAAACGUAAUAUUUGUUUAUUCCAAAAAUUUCUCUUGCUCAUGUACCAUUCUUGGGCGGGCUCACUUUCCUAAGUCAUGUCUCUCAGGCAAGUGGUAGUCAUUCCCCUGCACAUGUUCGAAUAGAGUGCUCCCGAAACCCUCAUGCAGUUUGAAGGGACAUUUCUCCACUGAAACUUUAUGUGCUCCCUUGUAGCUAUAUAAAAUAACUGGAAUUACCAUGCAAAUUAAUAAAUAAUUAUGGUAAUAAUCAUCAUCAUCUACAGAAGGUCUUUGUUUUAGGUCAGUUUCAGCUCACAUUUAUACCCCAUAUCUCGUGGGCUCCCCUCCCCCUUCCUUCCUUUCCUCCCUCUUUCCAUCCUUCCACCAUGAUUUUUAGCAUCCACUGUGUACCAGAUUCAGUGCUAAAUCCCAGUGACGUGUAGAUGCGGAGUUCUUGCUGCCUGUCUUCCAGUCACUCUCCACGUCUCAUACAAAUGUUGUAUAGGGUGAGAAAACCAGGAUGAGAUCGUCCCUGUAAAAUAAAAGCAAAAGUCCUGCAUAGAUCUUCAUCAGAUAUUUUCUUAUGUUUCAAGGGCCAGAUCCGGGUCAUCCAGCAGACUUUAGCUUCAAGAGAGGCUGGGAAAUUUAAGGUUUACAUUUUCCAACUUUUAUAACAAAGGCAGGUAAUCAAAAGGAAAGUGGGUCUUGGGUAUGUGUGUUGAGGACGAUGGCACUUGGCACACAGGGGCCAUGCAGAGAAUAAUUUUGUUAUUAAUUUUUAUAGGCAUGCCUGAGUACUGCAGGAGUUCACUCUGGGAUCUUUUGCAUUAGGGUUCACCAGUUCAUGGCAGUGUGUAUUCUAGUGACACCAGACUGGCAUCUUCAUCAGAACCUUUGCCAUCAUCUUCAUCGUCAACCUCCAGUACCUGUAGUAGUGGUGGGAGCAGGUAUACAGUUGGUGCUCAACACAUGCUGAUUUAAUGAUACCAGGCAGCCUGAACACAUCCUGGUGUCAGAGCUGCCCAUAAUUUAGUGCUUCCUUUAGGCCAGACUAUGCAACGAGUCAUUUCAUACACAUGAUUUACUAUAAUCUCAGAGCAGCCUUUUCUGAGUAGCAGAAACUGAGACUUAGAAUUACUUUGCUUAAUAAAGAUCAAAUAGCCAAUAAGUUUGAGAGCCAAUGAGUAAACCCAAUGGAUGCUGGAUUUGUAAUCUCCACUGGCAUUCGCUCCAUCCUGUGGAUGCCAUAUGCAUAGGAAUUAUUAGCACUUUGUUGCCGUGUCUCUUAAGAAAUCCAUUUCUUUAAAAGAAAUAUUUAAAAAGAUGAGUUCUUUGAGCACCGCAAACAAUGCAAUUUUAGGAAAUAUAAUAUUUAUAGGACUCUGCAAUUAAUUUACAAAUUUUUUACAUCAAAAUUCGCCCUGAUGAUCUUAUUCUUUGGGGACAACAAUUGUCUCCUCCGUGAUGUUUUCCUACACUAAAGGCAAUUAUUGUUGCUUCUAGCUGUAAUAAAAAAAUAACCGAAACAGAUAGAAGUGUCUUCAUCGAAAUUGAGCUGAAACUCCCACUGUGGAAAUAAUCAGAAAAUUAAAAGCUCUGCAAUCUUGCAAAUAACAUUGCAACUUAAUAUUAUUGGAACAUAACAUUAUUAUCUCUUUUUAUAGGGAAAACAAACAUAAAUAUAUUUUCAAAUGACACCAUGAUAUUAGUUUUAUUUUAUUGGAUGGGGUGGGAGUGGAGAAAACACAAUAACUUUUUAGGGUCGAGCAAAUGAAACAAUGGGAAUUUAUGAAAAAUGAUCAGCCGCACAGGGUAUGUAUGCUAGGACUCUCAAUUUCAGGAAAAUCAUCCCAAUACAAUGUGGCCCUACCCCAGCUCCUUCUGUGUGGUUUUUUUUUUUUUUUUGGAGG
rnacentral:lncRNA from 1 species